CAAAACAAAAAACUUCAAAAAUUGUAAAACCAGGCCAAUAGAAUAAAAUUGUAGACCUAAAAAGAAUGGUGCCAAACAGAGUAAUGUAGUGAACAAAAAUCACUGAUGGAAAAUUUCAUAAAUAUAACUCAACAAGUUCUACAAAACACUCAACAACAAAGAAACUAUAACCAGAAACAUCACAUUGACAUUGACAGGCUUAGUUGAAAAUGCAUUGCUCUUAUGGCUGCUAGGACUACUUGCUUGGAUCAUGAUUUUGAAUUUACAUGUUCCACCCGGUGGUGACGGAUCUAUGUUUGUGAUCAUGGAAAGGUUCGGAAACUUGCAGGCACUCGAUUGCUGGUCGUUUUCCUGAUAGUAACUGUUGAAUGCAUACGAAACGUUGCCACGAGCAUCUAGAUCAGCACAUGAUGUCCCGUGCCCGAGGCUGGUGCAAUCAGCAUGUGAACAUGCAUAGCCUACACUAUCAGCUAGCUGAGGAUCAUCAAGGCUAGCUGAGGGUGACAACACGCACCACUGACGAGACAGGUAACGAACACCACUUGCUGGUACUAAACCACCUCCAUUGUUUGCACCUAACGAAAGAUUGUAUUUUGGCGUACCAUCGAAGUAAUAUAUUCCCCAAUGGCGCUCAAAGUUACCGGGCUGAAUGCUUUUCGCGUCCUCGUCAAUCAGACUGAACAGGUAAGCAUCUAUAGGACCAGGUCUCAUUGGAGUCCCCUUUCCACCUGAAAUGUGAGUCAUGAAUCCUUGGUUGAAUCUUUGGGCAGCUUUUAAGUUUGCAUUAUUGUCUCCGUCUGUUGGCCAUCCGAUUUCCCCUAUUAUAAUCGACAUAUUUGGGAAUCCAUUUUUCUGCAACGCCGAAAGGAGGGUAUCGUGAUUUGCAUCGAACACAUUGUUGUAGAUUUUCCCGUUGUCAUCGAUGGGGCUUGAGUAUCCGUCAAAGAAAGCAUAGUCAGCAGGAAAGUUGGGGUCAUUGUAGAGACUUAUAAAGGGAUAGAUAUUGACAGUAAAUGCGCCUCCGUUGUCACUCAAGAACUUGACAAUGCUCACUAUGAGAUCACGAAUGUCUUGGCGAAAGUCACCUGUUGAAGGUUUUUCACUUGAACUCUGGUAUACAUCAGCAUUAAUAGGAAUAGUGACUUUCACCCGAUUACCAAGACCGGCUUUUAUAAGGGCUGCCUGGAUGUUUUGAAGAGCCGGGAAUGUUGUUGACAGAAACGUACCGUUUAACUGAGAUAGAAAUGGUUCAUUUCCAACUGCAACAUAUCUGUAUACAGAAAUGAACUCAUAUUUAUCAAAAUUGAAGGCAAAAGGUCAGCUACUUGAGCCAACCUCAUUAGGCUACAAUUAGCAUUAUAUUGACUAGAUACGAAAUGUUCCAUGUAAUGUUGCCAAAACAAACAAGUUAGAUUGACAAUUCUCUAUGGAAAAGCUAAGUUCUUCUCAGACUUCCUCUGUUUGUAUACUCCUUUAAACAUGGCUGAUGAUUUAGCAAAUAUUAUCAUACUUAUAAAUGCUCGAAUACAACAAGCAAGUUGCGGUAGUUUUUACAAUUAUGGAGAAAGGAGAUUCAUGUAAGGACCUUAAAAAUGAAUAUUUUGCAUACUGUUAGUGUAUAUAACUUAAAAAGUGCGAAGAAUAUUGAGAAGAAACUAAACUCACUUGAUAUCAACACUGUUGGAAGAGACAUGUGAAGAGACAUUCUUCUCUACCCAUUUCUCAGCAGCACCCAAACUGUUAGCUAAACUCCACAGCAUUUCAUUUGGUAUUCCAACCAUGACUUCAAUUCCAGAGCCACUGAGGGCAUUCAAGAUUUCUGAAUCUGCAUCAAACAGCUUCACUUUCUGAAUCCCAUUGUCUUUAAGUAACUUCACUACUAUCUUUGGUGGCAAUGGAUGUGUUGCUUGUGUUCCCCAGUUUGCUCCUAUUCCAUAAACUGUCCCCAACACCAUAAACCCCAAAAUCAUUGAAAUCCAUAAACCAUUCUUCACCCCCAGAAUUCUCAUCUCCUUUUUACACCAGAAAGGCCUCCUCUUAAACAAGAACCAAGAACUUGCUGAAAACAAGAAAACAAAAAUCAAACUUGAAAUUGUUUCAUUACAAAAACACCAUGAUCAACUUUAUCUCUGAAGAAUCCAGAAGGGUCUCCAAGAGUUGGAAUUUCAAGAGGCUUAUAACUUGGUAACAACAAGAAAGAAAAGAACUUUUAUCUGUUUUGACCUUUUACUCAUAAAUUAGCUCAAGAAUCCAAACGGGUCUCCAAGAAUAGGAAUUUCAAGAGACUCAAAACUUACUAACAACCAAAAAGAAGAAAACUUUGUCUGUUUUGAACUUUCACUCACAAACUAGCUCAAGAAUCCAAAAGGGUCUUCAAGAAUUGGAAUUUCAAGAGGCUCAAAACUUACUAACAACAAAAAAGAAGAAAACUUUGUCUGUUUUGAACUUUCACUCACAAAUCCAAAAGGGUCUUCAAGAGGCUCAAAAAACUUACUAACAACAAAAAAGAAGAAAACUGUGUCUGUUCUAAACUUUACUCACAAACUAGCUCAAGAAUCCAAAAGGGUUUUCAAAUAUCAAGAGGCUCAAAACUUACUAACAACAACAAAGAAGAAAUUUUUUUAUCUGUUUUGAACUUUCACUCACAAACUAGCUCAAGAAUCCAAAAGGGUCUUUAAGAAUUGGAAUUUCAAGUGGCUCAAAACUAACUAACAACAACAAAGAAGAAAACUUUAUCUGUUUUUACACCACCCAUGUCACCAACUCAAAGAGUGUGAGAGAUUUUAGAAUUCAAGAAUCUAAUGGAGAACUGUGGUCUGUGCAUGGGUUCUUGCUUGAGAAGAUAAAUAAAAAGGGUUUCAAAAGGGGGAGUUUAAAAUUUGAAUUGGGAAAAGAUCAUUUGUAGUAGAAGCUGAAAAUAUACCAAAUCAAAGGAGGCAAGAAAGCAUAUUCUGAAAUGAAAACAGAGAAAAAGAAAAGGGAGUUCAAAAGAUUACUACUUUAUAUCCCAAGGAAGAAAACAGUAGGUCUACUAGAGAAAACCAAUCUUGUUAAGCAAUGGAAAUUCAACAAUUAAAUAGGUGAAGGAAAUUCUGGAGUUUCUGAGUAUUGAGUCACAAAUACUUGUCAAAGAAAGGUGAAGAUGAUAGCUACAUAUAAGAUAGUGAUAUAUAUAUAUAUAUAUAUAUAUAUAUAUAUAUGACUAAAUUUGACAACAGGUUUGGUUUUGAAAAAAAAAAGUCAAUUACAUUUGGAUUGAUUUGUACUCAAGUGAUCUAGCAUCAACUGAACUAGUACAUUUGAUCAAUGUUUGCUUUUGCUUUUUAGUUUUUGUACCAAAUUGUUCAUAUGCCACAUACUUUUUUUUCUCCACAAUCAUAUAUUAUUUCAAUUCUCUUGCACUUUCUCUAUGAUAUUUGGGACUUCAACUUAUAUGAUUUUAAUAUUUUUUUCAAGUAUAAUACAUGUUUAAAUAGAAUUUUAAAAAUUCAAAUUUCAACUUUAAAAUGUAUGAUCAAAUUGUAAGUUAGCUUAUAAUGAGUGAUAUGGUUGAAGUUAUAUUUUCUUGUUGAAUAAGGUUAUAGGCAAAUUUAAUUUAUAUUCAUCAAAUAUUUGAAUAAUGUUAUAAUUAUGGCUAUAAAUGUUAAUUUUUUUUGUCAAACAUAUAAUCCAUGAUAUUCUUGCAAAAUGUGUGCUUAGUUAUAAUUUUUAUUAAUUAAUUCAACUAAAAUAUCAUUUAUUUGAAAAGUAUAUAUCAAUUAUUUUUAUACUAUUAGUUAAUAAUUUUAAAAGAUAUAUUUUAAGAUAACAUGUAUCUUGAAUACCUAACGUAGAUAAAUAUUAGUAAUAUUUCUUAUAUGAGCAUAUUUUAGUUUUUGAUAAUUAAUAUUUAUUUUUAAAAUUCAAAGAUCUAGUUGUGAAAGUAAAUUUGUGCAAUUAAAUAACACAUUUAAAAUUACACUGCAAUUACAACAUUAUAAUUAUAAUAAAUAAAUAAGUCUUGAUAGAUGUACUCUACUACAAACAAUCACUACUUUAAUAAUGGGAUAAGGGUCUGAAAAAUAUCCUAAUUUUGGUCGGAUUUGCUGUUGCGAUACUAAACUUUCAUAAGGACCUAUUACCUCCCUAGACUAUUUAAUACCGUAUUUUUUACCCCCUGAACUAUUUAAUAGUGUAUUUUAAAGGUAUAUAUGUGCCCACGUGGACACAUUACUAUAUAUAAUUUUGCAUUAUUUUCUAUGUCCACGUGGGAAAAUAUAUAUGUUUAAAAUACGGUAUUAAAUAGUCUAGAGAGGUAAUAGGUCCUCAUGAAAGUUUAGCAUCGCAACAGCAAAUCCAACCAAAGUUGGGGUAUUUUUCAGACCUUAUUCCUUUAAUAAUUACACUAAAUUUAAUUAGGAAAAUGAAUUUCCAAACAAAUCUUUAGUGGUGAAUUACUAUAUAUUAGAAGAGUCUAGGAUUUACUACCAUUGUUCCAAUUAAAUCAUUACAAAUGUCCAAUACUUACUAUAUAAAAUAUAUAAGUGGGGCCCACCUCCUUCCACUUAAAUAAUAAUUUUCAACCUUAUCAUGGUAAAAGUUGAAUUUAUUAUCCUUUUCAUUUAAUUUUAUAUGAUAUUAUUUUUUCCUAUAAAAUCAUUAUAUAUGUUUUAAUAAUUUAAAUUUCAAAAACAUUAUAAUUUAACUUUAAAGAUUUUAUUUUAUCAAAAUCUUGUACAUUGAAAUAUAUAGUUAUGAAUUUAAAAUAUUUUUAAAAUCAUAUAAAAAUUUCAAUAACUUCUCAAAUUCCAUAAUAUAACACUUAAAUANNNNNNNNNNNNNNNNNNNNNNNNNNNNNNNNNNNNNNNNNNNNNNNNNNNNNNNNNNNNNNNNNNNNNNNNNNNNNNNNNNNNNNNNNNNNNNNNNNNNNNNNNNNNNNNNNNNNNNNNNNNNNNNNNNNNNNNNNNNNNNNNNNNNNNNNNNNNNNNNNNNNNNNNNNNNNNNNNNNNNNNNNNNNNNNNNNNNNNNNNNNNNNNNNNNNNNNNNNNNNNNNNNNNNNNNNNNNNNNNNNNNNNNNNNNNNNNNNNNNNNNNNNNNNNNNNNNNNNNNNNNNNNNNNNNNNNNNNNNNNNNNNNNNNNNNNNNNNNNNNNNNNNNNNNNNNNNNNNNNNNNNNNNNNNNNNNNNNNNNNNNNNNNNNNNNNNNNNNNNNNNNNNNNNNNNNNNNNNNNNNNNNNNNNNNNNNNNNNNNNNNNNNNNNNNNNNNNNNNNNNNNNNNNNNNNNNNNNNNNNNNNNNNNNNNNNNNNNNNNNNNNNNNNNNNNNNNNNNNNNNNNNNNNNNNNNNNNNNNNNNNNNNNNNNNNNNNNNNNNNNNNNNNNNNNNNNNNNNNNNNNNNNNNNNNNNNNNNNNNNNNNNNNNNNNNNNNNNNNNNNNNNNNNNNNNNNNNNNNNNNNNNNNNNNNNNNNNNNNNNNNNNNNNNNNNNNNNNNNNNNNNNNNNNNNNNNNNNNNNNNNNNNNNNNNNNNNNNNNNNNNNNNNNNNNNNNNNNNNNNNNNNNNNNNNNNNNNNNNNNNNNNNNNNNNNNNNNNNNNNNNNNNNNNNNNNNNNNNNNNNNNNNNNNNNNNNNNNNNNNNNNNNNNNNNNNNNNNNNNNNNNNNNNNNNNNNNNNNNNNNNNNNNNNNNNNNNNNNNNNNNNNNNNNNNNNNNNNNNNNNNNNNNNNNNNNNNNNNNNNNNNNNNNNNNNNNNNNNNNNNNNNNNNNNNNNNNNNNNNNNNNNNNNNNNNNNNNNNNNNNNNNNNNNNNNNNNNNNNNNNNNNNNNNNNNNNNNNNNNNNNNNNNNNNNNNNNNNNNNNNNNNNNNNNNNNNNNNNNNNNNNNNNNNNNNNNNNNNNNNNNNNNNNNNNNNNNNNNNNNNNNNNNNNNNNNNNNNNNNNNNNNNNNNNNNNNNNNNNNNNNNNNNNNNNNNNNNNNNNNNNNNNNNNNNNNNNNNNNNNNNNNNNNNNNNNNNNNNNNNNNNNNNNNNNNNNNNNNNNNNNNNNNNNNNNNNNNNNNNNNNNNNNNNNNNNNNNNNNNNNNNNNNNNNNNNNNNNNNNNNNNNNNNNNNNNNNNNNNNNNNNNNNNNNNNNNNNNNNNNNNNNNNNNNNNNNNNNNNNNNNNNNNNNNNNNNNNNNNNNNNNNNNNNNNNNNNNNNNNNNNNNNNNNNNNNNNNNNNNNNNNNNNNNNNNNNNNNNNNNNNNNNNNNNNNNNNNNNNNNNNNNNNNNNNNNNNNNNNNNNNNNNNNNNNNNNNNNNNNNNNNNNNNNNNNNNNNNNNNNNNNNNNNNNNNNNNNNNNNNNNNNNNNNNNNNNNNNNNNNNNNNNNNNNNNNNNNNNNNNNNNNNNNNNNNNNNNNNNNNNNNNNNNNNNNNNNNNNNNNNNNNNNNNNNNNNNNNNNNNNNNNNNNNNNNNNNNNNNNNNNNNNNNNNNNNNNNNNNNNNNNNNNNNNNNNNNNNNNNNNNNNNNNNNNNNNNNNNNNNNNNNNNNNNNNNNNNNNNNNNNNNNNNNNNNNNNNNNNNNNNNNNNNNNNNNNNNNNNNNNNNNNNNNNNNNNNNNNNNNNNNNNNNNNNNNNNNNNNNNNNNNNNNNNNNNNNNNNNNNNNNNNNNNNNNNNNNNNNNNNNNNNNNNNNNNNNNNNNNNNNNNNNNNNNNNNNNNNNNNNNNNNNNNNNNNNNNNNNNNNNNNNNNNNNNNNNNNNNNNNNNNNNNNNNNNNNNNNNNNNNNNNNNNNNNNNNNNNNNNNNNNNNNNNNNNNNNNNNNNNNNNNNNNNNNNNNNNNNNNNNNNNNNNNNNNNNNNNNNNNNNNNNNNNNNNNNNNNNNNNNNNNNNNNNNNNNNNNNNNNNNNNNNNNNNNNNNNNNNNNNNNNNNNNNNNNNNNNNNNNNNNNNNNNNNNNNNNNNNNNNNNNNNNNNNNNNNNNNNNNNNNNNNNNNNNNNNNNNNNNNNNNNNNNNNNNNNNNNNNNNNNNNNNNNNNNNNNNNNNNNNNNNNNNNNNNNNNNNNNNNNNNNNNNNNNNNNNNNNNNNNNNNNNNNNNNNNNNNNNNNNNNNNNNNNNNNNNNNNNNNNNNNNNNNNNNNNNNNNNNNNNNNNNNNNNNNNNNNNNNNNNNNNNNNNNNNNNNNNNNNNNNNNNNNNNNNNNNNNNNNNNNNNNNNNNNNNNNNNNNNNNNNNNNNNNNNNNNNNNNNNNNNNNNNNNNNNNNNNNNNNNNUGCAUCUGCCACAUAAAUUAGAACAAAUAGAUUAAUAAAUAUUAUUUUCAAAAUUAUGUUAAAAAAAGUACUACAAAUCACAAUAGCUAACAAUUUAAAAUAUUUUUAAAAUCAUAUAAAAAUUUCAAUAACUUCUCAAAUUCCAUAAUAUGACAUAAAUUAAAAUAAAAAUAUAUAUAUAUAUUGGGCCCGUGCUGGCACGGGGUCCUAUAUCUAGUUUUAUAUUCAAUUGUGGAAAAAGUUUCUUGAGGUCCACUUAUAAAAAAUUUCCAUACAAUAAUUGAUCCAUUAUUUCCAUGACAAAUGAAAAGGAUAUCACAAGUUCUACGUAAAUAUUUUUUGUUUGUAUUAUCAUUUAUAGAAUAGUAAUAUUUCAUUCCAGAAAUGAAUAGUGAGUUUUCACCUAACCAUUAACUAGUGAACCCUUGUAAAUAUGUGUUUUCAGAGUGUAUUUGAAAUAUUGUCAUGGUUAAUAUUAAAAUAACAAGUGAAGUAAUCGUCGUCUGAUCAAUUGACUUGGACAUCAAAUAAUUCGUGUUCAUCCAUUUUAUUUCGCCCUAAAUGGAACAAUUCUCUUGGUUACGCUGCUCCUCGAUUCGAGGCUCCAUGUUUGUUUUUCUUCACUUGUAACUUAAUAAGUUGGCAAAUAAGAGUCAAAUUGACUUAUAAGUAUUUCAAAUUUAUUUAUACGUUUAUUAAACAUUCAAAUUAAAUCACUCAAAAGUUAUAAAAAUAGAUAGUCAUUUUCAAUUUACAACUUUUCAUUUUAUAACACUACUAAAAAAAAUACUAUUUUCUCGUUGUAAAUUCUUGUUGAAAAUUAUUUAGUUGUUAUUAUCGCAUAUAUUUCGAUUGAACAAAUAAGAAAAGAAAAAAAUAAGAAGAUUUUCAGUAUUUCAGUGAGAAUCUAUUUUUCACCAUACAUUUUUUCAAUGAGCAUCAAUUCGUGAAAGGUGAAAACGUAUCAUGUUUUAUAACAUAAUUUUAUUUUUUUUCGCAAUAAAAAAAUCUCUUUUUCUAGUAGUGAUUUGAUCAAGAUUAAUUAAGGUCGAGCCUUUGAAAUAGGGAGCUUCUUUGUAUGAAGUGCUUCAAUCCAGAUUUACUUGACACAAAUCUUAAUUACUACAACAGUACUUAGAUAAGUUUAUUGAAAUUUCUGAUGUAAAUAUUGGAUCUAUACAAAAGUUAUUGAAUUCAUUUAAACUGAGGCUCCGCUCCUCGGCAUGUUAAAGAAAAUGUGGUUAUGUGCAUGCACAAAGUGCAACCUCAAUAAUUCUCCCAACAUUUAUAAUGCAACAAUAUAUUUUUUUUCUCUUUUUGGAAAGAAUUGCUUACUUAUAAGAAAAAGAGAAACCAAAUAUUGGUUGUAGUUGAAAUAUCAGAAAUCUCUUCACUCUUAAUCAAGUAUGAGCCUUGAAAAUAAUUAAAAUAAAUCAUGUUGGAAGUACUGUUUUCAAAAAUUGGCUAUGUAAUAUGUAAAUUUGAAUUUAAACGAAUUUCAAUACAAACAACAGAGAUUGAGCGGAAAAAGAAGAAGAAGAGUUAUCCAUAUUAAAUUUCAAUUUUAAUGUAGUUAAGAAGAAGAAGAAAAAGCUAAAGUAUCUUGAGUGUUGUAUGAUUGAUGGCAAAAAAAAAGAGCACAAACAAGUGUGUAGAUUGGGUCACAAAUGGCUUUUUAAUCAUCACUUUGAUGUUUUAGCCUUUUUACAAGAGAAUUAGGUAUACUCACUUGCAAGAAAGAUUAGGUGGGAGACCUAUACAUAGUUCUAUAGAAUUAAAAUAUACAAUUGUAAGGCUAUAGUUAAAUCACAAUGUUGUACACUAACCUACAUAUCUCCUUGAUCUUUAGUAAAAAUAAAAUAAAAUUAUAAAUAAGUAUGAGAUGACAUAUUUUUCGAGUAAUUAUUUUUUAUUGCAUGAGCAUUCUUGUUAAUUAAUAUAUUUACUUUUAAUUUAGUAUAUUUUAAGAAUUUUUUGGGGUAAUUUACCGAAAUCUCACUAGGGCAGCUUCGCCGGAAAAUUACAGUAUUUUUAAGUAUUGACACAUUUUAACAAUAGUUGAAGGUUUAGUGUAAUGGUAAAGAGGUUGGAAAAUUUGUUUGAGGUUGUAUGUUCAAUUGAUCUUCUUCUUUUUUCCACUCGGUGUCCGAAGUCCACAUUGGAGCUCCGACUAAAUUCGAAUCGCGCGUUGCAGGGCCAUUAAGGGGUGGCGCUCCCAACAAGAUUUUCUCUAUACCCAGGGCUCAAACCCGAAACCUAUGGUUAAGGGUGAAACACUACAACCAGUGCACCACAACCCAUGUUGCUUGUUCAAUUGAUCCUUGAUAGCAUCAUUUACCUUUUUACUAUAUAUUUUGACAAAUACACAAACAAAUCUCGCUCGCUUCCCUUUAACUUGAAAUCUGAUAUGAAAUUAUUAAUUAGUGAUAUAAAAUAUAAUUAUUUUAAACUAUAAGAAAAAUUAAUAAAUAUGAUAGGAAUAUUUGUGUAAUUAGACUAUUUCUCUUCUUCUUUUUUUAUCAUUAAUAAAUAUGAUAAGAAUAUUUAUGUAAUUAGAUUAUUUCCUUUUUUUUAAUCCUUUAGCAAGAAGAAUCAAAAGUCUUACGGUAGAUCAAAAUUAUAUGAGUUCCACUUGUGAGAAAUUGCUUACAUAUAUUAAGCAACAAUAACAUAUUUAGUACAAUUUCAUGAGUUGGUUGCAAGAAUAAUAAAAUAUACACAAAUUUGCUUCUACUUUUAUGAGGUAGAAAGGUUAUUUCAAUAGAUUUUGACUCAAAAGAAGUGUAACCAACGCAAAAUUGUAAAAAAUAUAAAAUAACAAAGUAACAAGAUAUAACAACGAAUGAUAAUGCACACAAAAAAAAUAAGAAACUACGCGAUAGCAUAUUAACACAUCUUAUGUUAAAAUAUUUUGUUUUGUUUUUUAUUUUAUGUAAAAUAUUUCUAAAAUUGAUUUUAUUUUAUUUUGGUUUUAAAUCAACAUCAUGACUUUUAUCCCGUAUUUUUUUAGUAGAAAAUAUGCUCUUUUAACAAGUCUAACACUGAGGUUCAUUUCUUCUUGAGAAUGUAUAUAUUCAACGAAUUAGUAAUUAUUUGUUUUUUUUUUCUAUUUUUAUUAGGAAAAUUCCCCAUUUAAACACAAUAUUCUUUAGAAAAAACAUUUUUCAAUUUUUUUAGUCAAUCAAACAUAAAAAAAUUGUAAAAAAUAUUUUCCGUCUUACCAAACACAACCUUAGUUGUUUGAUCUUCUAUUUAUUUUGCCCCUUUUAUCAAUUAAAAAAAGUGUUGUAUUAAUAUAUCCACACUUUAUUACUUUUUGUAAUGCAUUAAUUCGAAGUCCCACACUUUUUAUUACUUUUAAUAAUGCAUUAUUUUUAUAUAUUACUUUGUAAAUUUGAAGUGCACUUUGGUGACUUCCUCCUAGGGCUAUGAUGUUGAACCCUAAAGUUCAUCUAAUUAAGCAACAUUAAGAUAUAUUUUCAUAUCUUAAUAUGUGAUUAAAUUAUUAAAUCAAUAUAAGGACCUCUCACCUUUAGACUAUUAUUUAUUCUUUAUUUUAUACACCAUAAUGAUAACCAAAAGGCUAACCAAAGAAAAAUAUAAUAAGGAACUUCUUUUCCAUUAGCUUUAAAUAAAAUUCCUCUUUUUAAUGGUAAAAAGUUUAUUUUCUUCUAAUCUUAUUGUAAUUUAAGUGAAUUUGUUUUAAUCUACCAAGGCAAUUCAUUUUUUGUUUUAUAUUCUUGAGUUCAAUACCUAAUAUCCAAACUUUCUAAACAUUAAAUGAAAUUGGAAGUUAGUAUGUUUCAAAAUGUGAGAGACAUUUUAUUUAGCACCAUUUGAGACGUAAACCUGGUGACAUAAUAGCUUGAUAUAAAUGAAUAUGAUUUGAAAAAAUAAAUCUAACAUUAAAGAAAAAUUAUAAGAAGUUUCUUAAAGAUUUUAACAUAAAUAUCCAAACACACUAACAUAAGUCUAAAGCUACAAAAAUAAAAAUAUCUUACGAAAGUUGACAAUAAAUUUUCAUCAAUAAAGUCAAUAAUCAAAAUAGACAAAUAUUGUAGCUUAUUUUAAAUAUAACGAGUAUUAUAAUUUCUAUGAGUCCUCUGAUUUUUCUUUUUGAAAAAAAUUUCAAGGACUUUAGAAUUUGAUCUUGAAUCUGAUGUUUAGAUCUUGAAUUGUAUUUGAAUUUAAGGAUUUAAAACUUGAUUUUGAAUUGGAUUGUCUUGAUUUGACUUGAGCUUGAAUUUAAGGGCUCGAAACUUAAUGUUGAAUAUUCAUCUUAAUUUCUAGAACUAAUAAAGACAUACUUCAGUGCUUGUAAAGAAACAUGUGGCGCUUGAUCCACAGUCUUGCUCCGGUUUCUUGUUAAAAUUUUGAUGUCUUUUGUAAAUUAUGAGGAAUCGAAGAUCCUUAUUAAUAGUUGAAACGAUCUCUCGAAUGCAUAAAUGGUUGUGAGUUCAUGUUCUCAUCAUCUUUGGUAAAAUCAAGUCCACCGUGAAGACAUUCAUAGACACCUCUACCAUAGUCUUUUGCAAAUAACCAAUUUAGAUUUAAUAGUACAUACAUCCCAGCAGGGCACAACCAUCUUGUUCAAUUUAUCUCUUUAAACUUGGAUCCCAUGAGGCGGACCUUGGAAAGUUUUAACAUAAGCAGGAGGAAUUCGCAGAUCUUCCAGAUAUAGAGCGCGCAGGGCUUUGAACUCAAAUAUGUUACCUACAAUGGAAGUAAACAUAUUGGUAACGGGAUGAAAGUGUUGUAAUUAUAAAGACAAGCUCUUUUUUUUCUUCUGACAAUGUAAAACUCGAUAUGUGAUUGACUGAAACAUGUUAUUUGUACAUACACAUGACACAUUUACAUUGCCAUUUUGUAUGACUAGGUAUGCUUUGAUAUGUGACAUGUUCCCAGUGUAUUCUCCGUUUGACUUGACAUGCCACAUCAUUUGACACAUGACAUCAAUUUAGACCGAAAAAAAAAUAGAAAAAAAAAAUGCAAUCCUCGAAUAGGUCGUUGUAGAGAAAGAAUGGCCUGUUUGCCAACUUGCUCACAAUUUCGUUAAGAACAAAGCUUUUCGGAGUUGUCAAUGCAAUUUCUUGUGAUAAUAAAGUGGUAAAUCAAUGGGGUAUUUUGUAAUUUUGGCAAGUUUAAUUUGGAGCUGCUACAAUGGCUAUGUCUGUGAAGCAUAUGUACAUUAUUAUAGUAACUCUUGGUGUUCUCUCAUUUAUAUUUGGUGUUAUUGCUGAAAAUAAAAAGGUUUGUUAACUUCAUCAUGCUACUCGUUAAUAAUUUUGUCAAUAGUUUAUUAUAGACCAAGAUUUCAACAAAUUGGAGUUUAACUUUUUGAUCAUCCCCUCAUUUUCUCCCUUCAAUUUAUGUGAAAGUGAGGUUCCUUUUUUCUCUCUCGUUAUUAUUUGUAACAUUGGUUUCCGGGCCAAAUACGAAUAACUCUGUAUACCAAAGCUGGAUGAAUAAAAAGAAAUCACCUCGUAUUUUAUUUUUUGGCCUCUGUUGGCAAUUGAACUUGAGGUUCUCAAUCCACUUUAGUGACCGCUGGUAAUUCUAACGAGGAUUUUUUUUGCAUAGGGUGAAGAUUGUAGUUGAGUGGGAGGUAUUAAUUGUAUAUGCUUGAUGUUUUUCGAUCUCAUCAGUUGAGAGUAAGAUUGCUAUGUCCCCUAGAGAUGCAUCCAGAGCUACAUAACAUGUUCUUGAACUUAACCUGAUAACCAUAAGAUAAACAUGAACAAGUAUAGUUUAUGUUGCUCGGACUCCCCCAAAAAUGCAUUGUUUUGGGAGUUUCUGGCACGCAGUCAAUGGGAUUUUUGAAGAGUCCGAGCAACAUAGUAUGGAACUUUUUUUUCCCACUUUCCCUAUUUGUGCUCUGUCUGAUUGUUCUUUUGUUGCAGCCAGCAAAUGGAACUGCAAUACUAGGAAAAGGGGUUGUUAUCUGUAAAUAUCGAUCUGAUCACACUGUUGCCCUGGGCUUAUUGUCUGUUAUCUUUCUUGCUGCAUCUGCUGUGGCCGGCUUCUCGUCUUUGUUUUAUCCAUAUAAGGGGAAGUCAAUUCCUAAGGCUGUUCUGCUGAGAAGCACUAGUUUCGUUGUAUUCCUCAAUGUUGCUUUGUAAGUAUAUUUCUUAAAUUCUGGCUCCGCCUCUCAUUUUAUGUUUUGUGUCUCAGUUGCCUCAUAUUAGCUCUUUAGUGAUUUUGAUGUCUACUAGUGAGCAGAAGAAGCAAUUCUUGUCAUUUUGGUUUACGUUAUUUCAAUUUUGUUUAACUUUGACUCAUUUAGCUUUGAUCUUCUGCUGGUAAAAUAAAGGGGUACAACUGGUUUAGCAGCAGUGCUGUUGUUGUGGCCUAUCAUCAGUGAGCAACUUCAUAGCAUGCGGAACAUACACCACCACAACUUGCAAACGGGGUGUCCAACUGCCAAGACUGGUCUUCUUGGUGGCGGUGCCUUCUUGUCUCUUGAUUCUGCGCUUUUCUGGUUGGUUUGCUUGAUGAUAUCUAAUAAUGCUCGGGACGAUUACUUUGAAGAAACAGCAGCAGAUCUUAGAGGCGGGGAUGCAGUAAACUAUGAAGAAGAUGUAGUUAUCAAGAGUGCCUAAGAUGUAGUUUUGUCUUUCACUUGCUUGCUUCAUUUCUGAUGUUGCCACAAUCAGGUGGUAAACUUGCCAUGUACUUCAGGAUUCAGAGGGCAACUUUUCAAUUGAUCUGUUUGAGCUGAUGUUGUGUCUAUUAACCAGCUAGGAAGUCAAAAGUGAAUGCAUAAGGUGGAAACACACAACUUUUAUGACAUAGUAACAUAACAAAUACUUACUUCUAUUAAGAACGACAAAUAUUUUGAGGCGGAUGGAGUAUAUAUAUUAAUACUAAUAGCUCACUAUAAUAUAAAUGUUAUCUACACUACUGAGUACUGAUGUAGUAUACAACUUGAAUCCAAAGUUGAGGUUCAACUUCCGCCACUCGCCCUAGAACCUGCUCCUCAUCUGGUCCUCAGAUGUACCACCCGAGCCCCAAUCCAAACCACAUUCAAGGUGUGGUGAUGCUCAACUCAUAGUAAAGCAUCUUCUACCACAAUUUCAUCAACUAUGAAUUUAACAUUGGGUGAUGCUCGUUGGUAUUGUUUCAUAUUAUCCAUAAUUUCUCUACCCGACAGACAAAGGAGAUGUUCAUAAUUCCAAGCGGAAAUUUCCUCAAGUACAGGAGCAGACACUAAUAUAAGCCUCAGAAAUUCCAUUUCCACCUCACGACCACUAAACAUACUCAUAUGUACUUUUUGAAGCAGCUUCACAGCACCACACAAGCUUGAUUGGUUUUGUAAGUAUUGUACAACAGGUUCCACAGCUUCACUUUUCAUUCCCUAAAAGAUUAUCAGAAAGUGGUCAGAUGACGAAACACUGUAUAAAAUGACCUUAAUCAGAAAUAGGAAAGAGUGAUUACACAUUCAAUAGUCAAAUUUUGUAAUUUGGGGAAGCUUGUAAUCAAGUAAAUAACACCCGAAACAUGUUUAAUGCUUCUGAAGAACAUUGCCCGAACACUGAAAGAUUUGACAUUGUUCAGAGCAGUCAGAUGAUUCUCCGGCAGACCUCCCAUUGUUAAGUACUAGGAAAAUAUCAAAAAUUAGUUAAAGAUAUAACGCAGAUGCAUCAUUUAGUUAUGUAGAUAAGCAUCAAACUUCACUAGACUAUAACUAAUUAUAUCACAAAUGUCCUUUACCUCCAAUAAAUGACCACUUAUAUCCAGUUGCAUUAGGCAUGGCAUGUGACAGAAGAACUUUGUAAUAUUGGAACAAACAGGAGAUGCAACCAUCGAAACUCGUGAAUUGAGAUGCACAAUAAGUUUCUCGAGCAUAGGGGCGUUCUUGAAGCAAAUGGACUUUGAAUUUCCUCUAAAGUCAAAGCAUUUGAGAUUAGGUGCAUCAAUUUCAAGGGUGUCAAAAUUUGUGCACCAUCUCAACGUCAAUCUUUCAAGCAAUGGGCAUCUGAAAAUAAGAUUCCCAAGUAUUGCUGGAUCAAAAGUGGCAAAAUGAAGGUCAAGAUUAAUAAGCUUCUCAAACCCUUUGAAACCGGGUGGAGGAUGGAACGAGCAUCGAUCAACUUUCAGAUGCCUUAGGUGAUGGAACGUGAAAAAGUGAGAAGGUAAAUGAUAUCUGUUGUUUAAGCUGUUUCCGCAAAGGGUGAAUUCUUGAACAUUUUUCUUUGACAAGAAAAGUAUCCAGUGAUCAAUAUCAGGAUAUAUUGUCAAGUUAGAGCCCCCAAGACUAAACUUAAGUAUUGGUCCUUUAUGGAGUAAUAGGACUUGGUAAAUGAUUGCCGUAGCUUGAUUACAUGCAUACGUCACAAAAAAUUGAUAAUCAAACUCAAGCUCUUGACGUGUAACCCAUUUAUACCUCCAGUCUCUUGACAAGAUACUAGUCUUCACUGCAUCUUUCAGAGGCAAGCACCCUAAUAUUCCAUCCAGAACGUUACAAGGCAAAUCACUAAUUGUAUCUACACUAGAUCUCGUAGCAGUCCUCAUGAUCGAAUACUUACAAGUUGCAUACACUUCUGAAAGUUAAGAUCAGGGAAGUUAAACCAAUAGUAUCAAGCAAAUGCACUUUUCGACUUUCAAAGUAAUCAAUAUUCUCAACAGAAUUUCAACAUCAAGAUAACACAUGCAAAUAUACAAAAAUACAUAUUUCAACAACGUAUGCAUAGCCUUUGCAUAUGACUAAUAAUUCAAUGUUUUUCAUCUACAUACAAUUUUUCAACAAUUUUCGUAAUGGUAUAAGAAAUUGGAAGAUUGUUGGAGGACCACAAACUUCAAGUUGAGAGAACAUUGUUAGUGUCUACAAAAAAAAAAGAAGCCCAACAGUCACCCAAAAAUUAAGUCCAUCUAACCAACAUGGGUUAUGGUGCAGUGUAGGACUGCUUCACCGUUAACCAGACGAUGAAAAUCCUGUUGAGACCGUCACCCCUAAAUGGGUCCUGCAGUGCACGAUCCAGAUUUAGUCGAGCUCCAGACACGGGUGGGAAACCAAAAAAAAAAAAAAGUCCAUCUAACUAACUGAAAUUUUAUAUAAGGACUUUCUUCCUCUCAUUAGCCAGUGUUCCUCCGUUUAAAUUUCUCAAAAUAGUGAUGAGAAGUUUAUGAAUCAAGUAAGUAAAGUGAUAGUUUUCUAAAUAGGGCAAAUUAGAGAAGAAUGACAACAAAUAUGACCAAUUUCAAUAUGAAUUAAUCACAAAUCCAUUGUAAGCAGAAACAGGAGAGUUCCUAUUGCUACACAAAUUCCCCCAAAAGUAGAAGGGUUUAAAGGGUUUGUAAUUGAAGUAGAAACUGCAAAGAGAUGUAACAUAAAACGAGAAGUUGAUUGAAACUAUAGAGUUACCUUUAGAUGAAGAGUCCACCGGAGAGAGAUCAAAACUGCCGGUUUUAAUGGAAGUUGGCGACGUUUCACGUUUGGUGUUUAUCUCCUCCCUUAAUGCACGAAAAACGUUCAAUACAAGGGCACGAAAUCUGCUAGAUGAUAAAUAGAAGUAUUGUAGGAUAAUUAUUUUUAGUGAUCUAAAAUAAAAUAUUUGUGUGGUUGUAAAAGGAGAAUUUUAAAACUAAAUUAUUUCUAAUUUCUAAUUAUAUUAAAGUAACUUUUUUUUUAAACGGGCUAAAAAGAAAAGGGUAUCAAAAAAAUAGAGAAGUCACUUACCUUAUUCGUGAUAUGUGGAAGUAUCGACCUAAUUUUAUAGAGUCAUUCGGUCAACAAACUAAUAAAAGGAAAGUCUAUCUUAUUCUUCUCCCGUUCGGAACCCCUAUUUUCUUGAAAAUAACUUGUUCUGAAGGAGCAUAAUGAGACAUUGUAUUCGGGGAUUUCAAUUUGGAUUAAAUUAUUUUAUUUAUGUAUGUAGAUACAAUGUAUUUUGCUACGUUUCGAAAAACAACACUAUAUUUUGCAAAUAAGAUAUUUGUGUUUUGAAAUUUGUGAUCUAAAAAAAUUUCGAGAUAUUUGUGUGGUUGUAAAUCAUUUCACUAAAAGUAAAAAGAGAAUUUUAAAAAGUUAAAUUAUUUAUAGUUAUCACGAAGUAACAUUAUUCUCGGAGACAAAUUAAAAAAAAGUGUGACAUAAAAUAAAAUAGAGGAAGCACAAUGAGACAUUGUAUUCGUGGAUUUCAAUUAGGAUUAGAUUUUUUUUAGAUAUAUGUAAAUAGAAUGUAUUUUGCUUAGUUUCAAAAAAAGUAAAUUUUGGGUUUAGCAAAUAUAAAAAUCAUAUUAGUAUGUUAUAACUAUAGUUUGUAUAAUUACGCUUCAUAUCAAACUUUAUGUUUGAUAUGACUAUUAAUAUGUAUAUUUCGGUAUACAUAUACGAAUCAAUUGUAUAAUAUGUGUUUGUAUAAAGCGAGAAAGAGAGAAAGACAAAAGAAAACUGGACAGGGGAAGAUCUGCAUUUGUAUAAUUAUAAGUGUAUAGGACGAAAAUAUAUGUAUUUGUAUAUACAAUUUUCUCUCGCUUUAUACAAACACAAACGCAAUUUAUACAUUUGUGUUUGUAUAAAAAGUGAGAGAGGCGAGUGAGAGUGGCGAGCGAGAUUCUCUAGGAGAGAGGUGAACGAAAAUAUAUGUAUAUAUAUAGUUUUCUCUCGCUUUAUACAAGCACAAACACAUUGUAUACAUUUGUGUUUGUAUAAAGUGAGAGAGGCGAGGGAGAGACUGCCGAGUGAGAUCAGGAGAGUGGUGAGCGAGAAAUUCAGGGAGAGAGGCGAAUGACAAUUGUUUGCUACGGGUUACAAUUAAAUCAAACUGUGAUUAUACCAUUUAAUUUGAAUUAGUAAUUUGCUAUUUUAUACAAUUUUCCCUUAAAAAAACCAUCACAUUUUACAAAAACGAACGCUAAUAACACUAUUUAUGAAAAUUUCUCUAUAAAGAAGAGGAACAAAAAAGGCCGGCCCAUUACAGUUAAUCCAGGCACAAAAAUGGGCUUUGUUCAGAUCCAACUAAAACAACAAAAAAAGAAGCCCAGGCCCGUGCCAGGGAAAACACAAAAACUAGCAAGCUAAUUCUCCCUCAUCGUCUGCAGAAAAUUUGUUUGGGGGAUUUAUAUUGCGAAACAUUAAGAUAUAUAUUUGUCCCUUCGGGGACAUCCGAUAAAAUUGGAACGAUACAGAGAAGAUUAGCAUGGCCCCUGCGCAAGGAUGACACGCACAAAUUGAGAAAUGGUCCAAAUUUUUUUCUCAAACCAAAUCUGCAAUUUCAUAAGUGUAAAGCUGUUCUUGCAUUUUUUUGCUUAGUUUUUUUUCCCUCAGUUUUAGUUGCAUGAUAAUAAUUAAUAAAAAAUAAAUUAUUUUGCCUAAUAUGUUAUUGCUAUAAGUUUUUGGUUAUUCAUAAUUCAUGUAUAUACAAAUUUAAUAUUUUAUAUUAAUUGAUGUUUCACUUCAAAAAGGGAGUGGACCUGUUGUUUUUUUAUCAUCCCACGCCUUCCAAAACACUGGUUAUGUAAAUCACAUUCGUAAAUGUAGUGAAAUAAUAUUACCCAAAACUUAAUAUAAUGAUAUAUACGGUUACAUAUCCACGAACAAAAGUACAAUUUUUUUUCUUUAAUCAAGGGUUCAUUAAUUGUGCAGGACGACAACCUUUCUACUAUUAACUUUCAAUAAUAUCGCUUGGCGCCGAAGAUGAACUGUACAUCAACAUUAGCAAACUUUGAAACUGUGUAACGCUUUCAAGUAUGGGGAUAUUGAUGUUUAGUCCAUCUUCGAAGCCGAGCAAUAUUCAAAGUUAAUACUAGAAAGGUUGCCAUCUUGCACAAGCUACACCCCAUAUUGGUAUCAAAAGAAUUCCUCAAACGUUAUUUUUUUCCAAAGAGUUUUGAUUUACUUGUAGAAGUAGAUGUGAAUCAAAUGGCUUGAUUUCAGCUCUAUUUAUAGUGCUAACACCACAAGUUCUCUGUAUAUCAUAUUAAAUGGCACAUGUAAUGUUGCAAUAAAUUUUUUAAUACCUAAUAAAUGAUUCUACAGAUAAUAUUUGAAAUCUACAUUUCCAAAAGAGUAGUAGUGCACAUGUCAUAUGACAGUAAUUCAUGUGGUAUUUUAUUUUUCAUUUUAGUUGUCAGUACUCAUCUGUUCCAUUUUAUGUGAGGUAAUUUGACUUGACACAGAAUUUAAGAAAGAAAGGAAGAUUUUUAAAACUUGUGAUCCAAAAUGAAGGUUAGAAAUUUGUGUGGCGGUAAAUCAUUUCAUUAAGGGUAAAAUAAAUAUUUUAUAGUUAAAUUAUUACUUAAUAUAGAAAUGUGUCUUUUUUUUUUGGACUGACAAAAAAGGAAAGUAAGUCACAUAAAUUUGGACGGAGGGAGUAAUAAUUAUUAUAUAAAUUUAUAUUUCUAAAAAAAAUCAAGAUUAAAUUACUUCUGGUUUCUAUUAUUUAAUUAUUUAAAUCAUAAUUAUGUGACAAUACAAUAUGUUAAAUGGAUCUGACAACACUAUAUGGGGCUUGUACUUCUUUGUAAAUCCAUGUGAUAAAAUCAACCACUAUUGCAGUCAAUGAAUGAGCUUAGCUUCAUGACUAAACAUCACCAUCCAGAGACGGAUUUAGAGAGUAGCGAGGGUUAAUUUGAAAUCUCUUGACGAAAAGUUAUAUUAUAUAUAAUAUUAUUUUUUUUAAAUUCAUAUACGUAUAGAUUUUAUAAAUUUUGAACAUAAUCUAAAAAUGGCUCCUUUACUAAUUAAAGCAAUGAUACAUCAUCAUAUCCACCAAACAAGAUCAAGAUCAACAAAACUAAUAAAUUUGAGACAGUUGUUUAAGAAUGUGAAGCCAACAAGCUUGCCUUCUCGUUUCGAUACUAAAAAUCUUAAAAGAUUGAACCCCAUAGGCCAUAUAACUUAGGUAGAUCAAGGCAAAAUGAUGUUGUAUUGUAUAAUCACUUUAUGUUGUGAAUUUCUAGCUGAUCAAGCAAAUUUAGGUUUUACUUAUCAAAUAUUGCUUUUACUUACUCUAAUUUCUAGUAACAAUAACCUUUUAUAAGAAUAGCAAAAAUGUAACUAAAAAAAUGUAGCUCUGAAAAGGAGGAAAAAACUAGUAAAAUGACGGGGGUUUGUUUAAGAAAAAAAUUUGGACCAUUUCUCGAUUUGUGCGUGUCAUCCUUGCGCAGGGGCCAUGCUAAUCUUCUCUGUAUCGUUCCAAUUUUAUCGGAUGUCCCCGAAGGGACAGACAUAUAGGUUAAUGUUUUGCUUUAUAAACACAACAAAGAAGCUUUCUGCAGACGAUGAGGGAGAACUAGCUUGGGUGUUUUCGCUGGUAUGGGCCUGAGCAAAGCCCAUUAACUGUAAUGGGCUGGUAUUUAUAUUUUGAAAAAAUGGCACAGCAUGACAUCUCAUUUUACUAAUUGGCAACAAAUAGCCAUCUUUUAUUUUCUUGACAAAAAAAGGUUUUUAAAAAUUAAAUUUUGCAAAUAGUAGCCCACGUAUUGGGAAGUUUUUUUAAAAAUUAAAUUACAUAAUUUUAGGAGGUGGCAGCAUGAUGUCCUUUUUUAUUGGGAAGUAGUUUUUUUCUCUUCUUUCUCAUACACACGAUUCUUUUGAAUGAUUUUUUUUUAUUGAUUAUGUAAAUAUUUCUUCAAUUCUUCUUCUUCAUUACUUUGAAUAAAAGUUCUUGUUUAUUAGUUUUACAUAUUGAAUUCUAUAAAAAUAUUCGUCCAUAGUGUAUUUUUUCUCUUUCGCUUUUAAAUUCUUGAUGGUUUGUUGAUGUCUACCCGUCAAUUUCUCUAAUUCUUAGCCUAUGUUUGAUCCCCUCUUGUAUUGUCGUUCAUUUUUUUUGGGGAAUUUAAUUUUUUAAAUUGAAGGUUAUAUCUAAUUUAGGCAAAAAUUUACUUAAUAGUAAUUAAUUGUGGGUAUCAAUUGUUAUGUUUAAGAAAGUUAUCCUAGGAUUAUUCAUAAAAAUGGGGAUUCUGAUUCUAAUUUUGUGGAUUCUCCAUCCAUAACUCUAAAUUUUAUAGCCAUGUAAGUCUUCUCAUUAUCCGAUUCGACUUGUGUGUUUGCUAUUGCGCAAUUUAUAUUUCAUGUGCAAUCCUCAUUUACUGAAGAAAGAAACUAGAAUGUAUACAAAUUUUGAGAGAAUGAAUAUACAGAUAUGUAUACAUGAUUGCAAUGCAUACAUGAUGUUCAUGAUUUUAAAAAAAUCUUCAAUGCAGUGUAUACAUAUUAUAAGUGAAUGAAUACAUAAAAGUGUUUGACUUUUUAAUAUGUAUACACUGAGGGGAUAACAUAGCUAUUAAUGUAUACUAAUACUAAGUGAAUGAAUACACCAUUCUUCUACCUAUAUACAAUCAUCAAGUAUACAAUUGGAAUUUUUUUUUAUCAAGUAACGAACAAAAAAAUAUAUGAAAAUACAUAAUUUAUGUUUUUGGGCGGUUACGUAUUGUAUAUACAACUUUUUAUGUUUCCGUUAUUUUUGUUGUUUAGUGAUAUUGGUUAUACGAGGAAAACAAAAAAAAAACUAUUAAAAUGUCAUUUAUUAAUUUGGGCCAUUUUGUGCUUAUUUUUUAUUUGUCUAUUAAAUGCUAAUUAUUGUUGGGCUAUUUAUUGCUAAUUAUAACUAUCAGUUGUAUAUAUAUGUCAUUUCCUCUUAUUUUUUUAAAAGGAAAGUAUUUUAUUUAAUAAUUACCACUUUUAAGUAUAUUUUUAAUUUAUUAUCAUUUUUGUCAACUUUUAGCAAUACUUACUUUAAACAAUUUUGUUCCUUUAAACUUAGCAAAAAGUGCUACCAUUCGCAACUUUUAGUAAUACUGUCAUUCAGCCAAAUUGUUAUAUAUGGUUAAAAGAAUAAUGUUGACAAAUGUCGUAAAUAUUUUUUAAAAAGGGUACACAUAAGUGAUUUUCCCUUUUUAAAAUUAUGAUAGUAUUAUUUUUUUCAUUUUCAUAAAUAGUGUGUUAGCGUUCGUUUCUAUAAAAUAUAGUGCAAUUUUAAUUUAUUUCUUAAAAAGUACACUCAUAAAUUUUUAAUUCUAAUUGAAAUCAUAUGUAUAUAAUAUUUGAUUAUAGUUAUAUGUGUUUAUUUUUUUUUAUAGAGAGAGACAACAAUAUAGACAAAUGAAGUCCAAAUAACUUUCUAAAUUCUAUAGGCUCUGUGUUUUACCUAACCUUAUGAUCUAUCAAUAUAUAUAGUCACAAAUAGGGGUGCAUGGUACAAUAUUGAAAACUUUAAUUUGAUAAUUUCAAUUUUGAUAUUUUGUAGUAUGAUAAUUCACUAUCGUAGUUUGGUCGACUUUAAGUUAUAUAUACUCAUAUAACAGAGAAUUAUUGUUACUUCGACUUUUUAAUAGAAAAUGUCUCAAUUAUAUUAUACUAACACCUUAUACAUAUAAAAAUAUUCAAAAUGAAUCACAAACAAUUUCCUUCGUUAAUUAAUUACAUAAAAGGAAUACUUCAAUCGAGAUAGAAUAGCCAACGUUAAUUUUAUUUGUUUUAACAUGGGUGGUUCUUGGUUUGAGUUAAAAUAAGUCGUUGGUGAAUAUACCAUAAAUUACAGUUGAAUAUGAAAUGACAAAAUUGAAUAAAUAAAUAUUCAGUUUGAGACACAAAUAUAUUGUUCACUCUCUCUUUAAGGAGAUUGAUCAAGUCCAUUGAGAUAUGAUCUAUAUCGAUUCAACAAUAUAACUCUUGACUUGUCCGUUUCAGUCUCCAAAAUACAACAACUCAAUAAUGUCGUAUAUCUCAAACAACUCUGGAUUAGUCAAAGAGUUCAAAGCUCUACCAAAAGAACACCUUCCUUCAAAUACAUGAUUACUAUUUUUGUAUAAUGAAUAAGUUAGAGACUUAAAAUAUUUUUCUCUGUCUUAACUCUCUCUUUCACUACAUUUACCUCAAAAUAUAAGCACAACGUAACAUACUUCUCAUCCACUUCUCAUCUUUUUCUAUUUUAGCACAAUGAAGAAAACAUCAUUCAUAUAGGUGUAAAAAAUAUUCCACAAAUAAAUAUCAAGAAUGUGGAUAGCCAUUUGAAGAUUAGUGAGUCAAUUAGUAGAAGAUCGAUAAUCAACGAGAACAACAUGUCAUUGUGGUUAUGUAAGCUAUAAAGUAUUAUGACACCACUCUUUCUAUUUUAUGCCUACUAAUUAUCAUGCACUUUAAUAUUUUAAUUUUAAUAGUAAAUGCACACUAACACCAACAUAAACAACCAAAUUAGGGUGUGUUCAGUAUGAAGGAAAAUGUUCUUUCAUGAAAAAAAUACUUAUCUAUUUUGUUGUAUUCGGCAUAUAUACGAAAUUAUUAUAUAUAUAUAUAUAGAGAGAGAGAGAGGGGUGAGAGUAAUUGGGUGAUGAGGUGUGGGUGGUGAGAAUGAAGGUGAGGUGAAGAUAAGGUAUAUUAAAAGGUAGGAAAGACACGAUUAAUAUGAAAUGCUAUUUGUAGGAUUUAUUUUUCCUAAUUAGAGUGAGAAGUUUAUUUUCUUUAUUUUUUAAGUAACUUAUUUUCUUAAAAAAAUAUAUAUUUUCAAAACUUUUGAUUGACCGAACAUGUGGUUUAUCCAAGUUAGCUUUCCGGUGAUGAAAAUAUCUUUUUGAUUAGAGUUGCUUGUAAAAAAUAAUGCAUAAAUUAAGUAACUAUAUAAAAAUAAAAUAAACAACUUUAUAACACAAUUUCAUCAAGGUGACCAACCGAGAAUUUUACUCAAUUUUCUUACUAAAUAACUUUAAUUGGAAUUGGAGUUUCUGAUAUUGACUUCUUUCUUUGACGCCAAUUUAGAUGAAACAAAAGGGAUAAGGGUCUGAAAAAUAUCUCAACUUUAGUCAGAUUUGUUGUUGUGAUACUAAACUUUCAUGAGGACCUAUUACCUCCNNNNNNNNNNNNNNNNNNNNNNNNNNNNNNNNNNNNNNNNNNNNNNNNNNNNNNNNNNNNNNNNNNNNNNNNNNNNNNNNNNNNNNNNNNNNNNNNNNNNNNNNNNNNNNNNNNNNNNNNNNNNNNNNNNNNNNNNNNNNNNNNNNNNNNNNNNNNNNNNNNNNNNNNNNNNNNNNNNNNNNNNNNNNNNNNNNNNNNNNNNNNNNNNNNNNNNNNNNNNNNNNNNNNNNNNNNNNNNNNNNNNNNNNNNNNNNNNNNNNNNNNNNNNNNNNNNNNNNNNNNNNNNNNNNNNNNNNNNNNNNNNNNNNNNNNNNNNNNNNNNNNNNNNNNNNNNNNNNNNNNNNNNNNNNNNNNNNNNNNNNNNNNNNNNNNNNNNNNNNNNNNNNNNNNNNNNNNNNNNNNNNNNNNNNNNNNNNNNNCUGAACUAUUUAAUAGUGUAUUUUAAAGGUAUAUAUAAGCCCACGUGGACACAAUACUAUUUAUAAUUUUGCAUUAUUUUUUAUGUCCACGUGGGCAAAUAUAUAUGUUUAAAAUACGGUAUUAAAUAGUCUAGGGAGGUAAUAGGUCCUCAUGAAAGUUUAGUAUCGCAAUAACAAAUCCGACCAAAGUUGGGAUAUUUUUCAGACCCUUAUCCCAAACAAAAUAAUAAAAAUAAAGUAUACUAAUCAGUAACAAACAAUGAAGAAAUUAUUUGCAAAAGUUUUAAUACAUAUUUUUCACCUCAACUUUUGGUUUGUAACAUUCAAUAAACUUUAAUUUCAAUUCACACAUAGAACCUCCAUUUUAAUGUGUUUGGUAUGAAUACAAAUAUUUUUUUAAAUUUUGUCGUUAGGAGAAAACUAGUUUAAUUUUAACUUAAUUAGUAGCCAAAUAGUAUCACAUAAAAUGAAAUAUGACAACAAGAGUAAUAUACACUAUUCAUAUCCUAAUAUAUUUGGUAAUAUUACUACGAGCAACUUUUUUAUGUAUAAUUUUUUAAGUGUAUUUGAAAAAAUUGAACUGUAAAAACUUUAUUUAUAAUCUUUUUUUAUUUUUAUUAUUAUUAUUAUUAUUUUAUCUAUAACUAUUUUAAAUAUUAAUGAAGUCAUUUCCCAUUUGAAUAGGGGGGAAAGUUCUUUGAGUAAUGAAAAAGCUGAUAAUUUUUUUGAGAAAGUAUUUUUGCGCUACCAAACAAAACUCUAAAUAUUUUUUGGAUUCAAGCUCAUGGUAUGAUUUUUUUUAUAAUAGGGAGCGCUUCCUCUCAAAUGAAGUCAUACACGACGUAAAUCUAAAUUAAUCAAACUUCAAUGUGGAUAUCAAACAUCGCUGGAAAAGAAAAAAAAAAUACUAAGUGGCCAAAUUUACCAAUGCAAUGGCCAGAAAAUUGAAAUGAUAUAUGAGAUUAAUAAAUCUUGACUUGUGAAAUAAAUUAAAGAAGGUUAAGUGGUUGGAUUAUAUUCAAGAGCUCUUGGCAUCUUUUUUUUUUCAUUUUUUCUUUCUAUUUUUAUCUAUAUAAAAAUUGUUUUUGAUUAAGGUGGUUUGAGAGAAUAUAGUUUGUCUCUUUUACUUUACCUCUUUUCUGUAAUUUUAUAUAACUCAUUUAAUGCAAUUAGAAUAAAAAGAAAUUUGAUUCUUUAGAUAUUAUUCGUUGUGUAAUAUUUUUGGUGGGAGAAUUGUCCUCCUAUAUAUUUUGUCAAAAAAAAAAAGACAACUUUAUUAUGUUCAUAUGCUAUGUCAUUUCAUUUAAUUGAUACUAAAGCUGCAUAUUUAGUGUUAAUCCUUUGUAACAAAUUGGCCAUUACUUAAAUUAUCAAGAUGCUAUAAGAUAUUCUGCUUAAAAAUUAGUGUAAAGUAGAGAAAUUCCAUACAUUUGGGGAUAGUUAUAUUCUAUUGUAGAAGUUUUCUCAAUUUCAAAAAUUUUGAAUUUUUUAUUGCUCUCGGAUAUAUUUCUUAGUUAUCCGUUACAUUGUAAAUAGUACAUUACUUAAUGAUAGGAAUGUGUUCGAGAGAGAAUUUUUGUAAUUUUUUAAAAUGAUAGAAAAUUUUAGAGAUUAUGAUAUCUUAAAUUGUGUAUAAUUUUUCCUGAAAAUUAAUCUUAACAUACUUCUUGAAAUAAAAAAAAUGUUAAUUAGAUUUGAACCCCCUAUUUAUGCUCGAUUAUGCAAAACUUGAUUAUGGAUUAGAGAAGUGAAACUAGGUAAGUAAAAGAAAUGUGAAAAAUCUAUAAAGUAGGCGUUAGGUCAAGGAUGUGAGGCUUAAGUUUGAAGUUUUGAUUUAAGAAUCAAAGUUUAUUUAUGAAACGUGAAUAAAAUUUUAAUUUAUUUUUGAAUCAUAAUUUUAAAUGUAAAGCUUGAUUCAUAAGUUUUUUUUUUUUUUUUGCAAAUAAAGAUUUCAUUAUUUUAAAUUUUGUAAAGAAAGACUUUUACACUCUAUAAGAAGAUUUAUAUAUUACUAUGUGUAUUUGAAAGUUUGUAAUACUAACAUAUAAUCGCAAACAUGCAUUUAUAAAAGGGAUAUGUAAAUGUGUGAUUUAUUAAUGAACGUCUUAUGAUAUUUCGUUACCUUAUUUAUUAACUAUGAUUUUCUUAUUUGGUAAUAAUAUAUAAGAAUUGAGAAAUUUUGAUAAUUUUUACGAAUUGUCAAGUUUUAAUGUUUAAUAUUUACUGUAAAAAAAACAAAACCUAAAUUGCUUAUUCAAACAAAAUUUCAAAUUAUGUCCAAACGGAAAGUUUGAGGGUAAUUUAGAAAAUUUUGUUAAUAGUGGGAUAAAUUGAUAAUAUAUGAUAUAACCGAGGACUAAAAAGGAUACAUUUUAUGUCUAUUUCUGCUAAAUCUCAUUACCCCAUUUAGCACUGAGGUUUUUCACUUCUCUGAAUACCACAAAUCCUCAAACUCGCCGGCCUCGCCGCAAGUCGUCGCCGGUGCCGGAAAACCAAUUUUGUCGCCUGAAAACCUCACUACCUUGCCGCAAUCGUCGCAAUGGAGAAAACGGAGCUGAAAGAUGAUAAAAACAAAGAGGUAGAAGAGGAGCAAGUAGUGAACCCAUGGGAAGUAUCAGCAAAAGACGGCGGGAAGAUUGACUAUGACAAAUUGAUCGACAAAUUUGGUUGCCAGAGGCUUGACGAGUCCUUAAUUCAGAGAGUUCAACGUCUUACAAAUCGGGCACCUCAUGUUUUCCUUCGCCGUGGAGUUUUUUUUGCUCAUCGUGAUUUCAAUGAUAUAUUGGAUUCUUAUGAGAAAGGGGAGAAGUUCUAUUUGUACACAGGCAGAGGACCUUCUUCUGAAGCUUUGCAUUUGGGUCAUCUUAUCCCUUUCAUGUUUACAAAGUAAUUGGGAUUUGAAUACACAAGGCUUAUUUAGUUUUUUUUUUUUUUUUAAAUAUUUGCUUACUUUUGGGUUUGUGAAUGUGUUUUAUUGUGCUGCAGGUACUUGCAGGAUGCUUUUAAGGUGCCACUUGUAAUACAGUUGACUGAUGAUGAGAAAUGUAUGUGGAAGAAUUUGUCAGUGGAAGAAAGCCAAAGACUUGCUCGUGAGAAUGCUAAAGACAUUAUUGCUUGUGGAUUUGAUAUUUCAAAGACGUUUAUUUUCUCUGAUUUUGACUAUGUUGGUGGGUAAGUAACCUCUCUUUUUCUUCCGGAAUGCAGUUUAUACUAUAAGGAAAAUGUUCAUAUUGAGAAUUCCUUUUUUAGAUUGUAUUGUUCGAGUGUUUGGUGGGUAUAAAAGCAUGUAUACAUAUGGUAAUCAUACUAGAAGUGGUAUAUGUUACGAGGAUAGUGUUUUGGUGAUAUUUUGAAGUUUUAAAAGUUGAAAAUAAUGUUUUAAGGGAUUAAUGAAGUAUACAGAGUGAGACUUGGGAUACUUGUAAAGUGGCACAAAGUCAUUGUCCUAUUUUUGAUGGGAAGUGUCCUUAAUGCAACAAUGAUUUUUCUUUUGGGAUGCGGUGGACGGGGAGAGAGAGGAGACUCAGUUAUAUUGUUUUCAUGGUUAUGUUUUGUUGCUUUGGAUGUGAUAAGGGUGGAUGUUGCUAUUUAGAAAGAUAAUUUUUGCUUAUAUGGUCUGUUGUAAGUAGAAUUUUGAUGGUCGCACAAGGAUGCAAUCAACUUGUGCUUUCUUUCAAAUUCAUGUGUACAUCUCCAUGAUUUUUAUUUACAUAAUUUAUGAUGUGUUUCUUGUUUGACAACUUAGAGUAUUGGUGCUAACAAGAAUUCUUUAUGCGCAGCGCCUUUUACAAGAACAUGGUCAGGGUUGCAAAAUGUGUCACAUACAAUAAGGUGAUUACUUCCACUUUAUAUCUAGAGGAGUAUGUUAUGUUAAAGUUCUUAAACGUAUCGUGCUCUGUGGUUUGUUUUUCAGGUUGUUGGCAUUUUUGGUUUCACAGGUGAAGAUCACAUUGGGAAAGUUAGUUUUCCACCAGUCCAGGUAGCAUAUUCCUCAAUGUCGUAACUGUAGUCUGUUUAAGUGUUUAUAGCUUACUCUGUUGUGCAAAAACUUUUUUUUCAAGUUUUGGACAAAUGCUUUCGGAAAGAUCUUCAUACUUCCUGUUCUUAAGUUAUCUUUAUAUGUCCAUCCCUCCAGUGUCCCCAUUCUAAACUCUAGGAAAUGAAAACAGAAAGGAAAUAUAGAGAAAACCACAAUGCUUUGAUAGACAGUCCUCAACCAAAGAAACAAUAUAGCACUGAGAGGUUUUAGUAAAACCUCUCUGUGCUUCCAUUUGUGAAGCUUAUGUGCACAAUAUUUCAUAUUUGUUUUCCAAUUUUCACGUCAGAUGAUCUACUUUGGAAAAGUCAAAAGCUUGAAGAAGCCGGAAUAGUAUACUUCACCUAAUCCCCCACCCCCCACAAAAAAAUUAAAAAUGUAAUAGCAGCUUACUCUGAAUCUUGUAUGGUUUUUGUCUUUUCCUCAAAACUUAGAAAUUUGAAUUUGGUUUUGAAUGUAUGGAGAAACUAACAUGGCUGAAUUUACAAAAUUAUAGGCUGUGCCAUCCUUCCCCAGUUCAUUUCCUCAUAUCUUUGGCAAUGAGAACAUUCGCUGCUUGAUUCCAUGUGCCAUUGACCAGGUUUUUUCUUGCUCCUUUUGUUGUCAGAUUUCUUUAAAUACAUAUAUUUUGAACCUGGUAAUGUCAUUUCUUCAAAAAAAAAAGAAAACAUGAUUACACUGGGUAUGUUGUUGUGAUUUCUUCAAAUGUCUAAUUACAGUUGCUUGAUCGAGCAAUAUAUUCCUAACUUAGUACAAAAAUGAAGCUGUAUGUUUUGUUGUCAAUAAAAUAGUACUAGUUGUAUAGUCGCAAGGGCAUAUUUUUUUUGGGUGAAGUAAUUAAAUUGUAUUAGAAAGGCAUCAAGGGAUGCAGAGGUUAUAACUGAAUAUAAAGUUGCUUCAAACAUGAAAAUUACAUGAAGCUAACCAUGCAAAAACUUGUAAAGCAGCCAAAAACAUAAACCCCCUUAAACCCUACUGUGCUAGAGAGUUAGGGAGCUAACAAAAUCCAAAAAAUUAUUCUGUACUGUUUACAGGGAUGGGCAUAUUUUGUUUGACAGUGGUGGUUAUUUCCCAAUCAGUAGAAGCAAUCUUCAUUUUUCACUGCCACAAAGAUCUCCUCAUAGUAACCUUCAUAACUAACCUCCAAUAUGAUAGAAACCAUUGAUUUCCUUUAAGGAGUUCUCUUUUGAUUUUAAUGUAUUUUUGAUGUGCUGAUCUGUAUAGUUGGCGAAACUAAUGAGAGACUUUGAAUUGAUUUUAUACCUUUUCCACUAUUAAAAGUCGACACCAUCUUGGUGUGUUAUGCACUUAAGAUAUUUGACUUCCCAGAAGAAAAUGCUGGAUGGGCGAUCUUAAAAAUCUGCUUGUUCCUUUUCAAUCGAUGGUAUUAUAUAUUUGGGCCUCAAAUUAUUGUCUCGUCAUAUUACUAAACAUUGGAGGCAACAUUUUUUUGAGAACUUAAACGCUGGAAGCAACAUUUUCUCUUGAUAGGUGCCUUUCUUUGUACUGCGUAAUCUGCUGACGAUAUAUCUUGUCCUUCUUUUGGGUUGUUAGAUCCGUGUGUGUGAUGAAUAGACAUUAGACAUUAGCCUAAGCCUAUGCUGCGGUCUUUACUCUGUUAACCUUGAGCUAUUUUCUAGUUAAAUGUUCUAACUGACUAGUUUGUGGGCGUAUGAUUAUUGACACAAUUUAGCAAGUUCAAGCUGUAGAUCUGCUGGAUUAAAUAGGCAUAAGCAGGAAAUCUCCUGUUUUGCUUUAAAUUAUAUUGAUUAGCUGAUAUAUAGACAGUGUCAUGUUAUCUUCAAAGAAAAAGAAAACAAAUCUAAAAGAUGGAGGUCAUGUUGGUUUUUACCGCUUCAUUUCUUUCUUUUCCUACAUGCAAUGUCUCUCAUGAUUUUUUUAUUGAUAGUUUCCCCUCUGUUUCUACUGGAAGAACUAACAUCAGUAAGUGAUUUUUCAGGAUCCGUAUUUCCGAAUGACUCGAGAUGUUGCUCCUCGGAUAGGCUAUCACAAGCCUGCUUUGAUUGAAUCAUCAUUCUUUCCUGCCCUUCAGGUUUUUCCCUCCUUAUAGACCAGUGACCAACCAAUUUAAAUUUUGUUACAAAUUUACGAUCAAAUUUCACUUUGAUCACGCUUCUGUGACUAAGCCUUUUACAGUUAAUUAGUAGAAUAAUUUGUUCUAUUAUUCUCGUCUGUCCUCAACUUGUUGCCACGAAGGUUUAACUCUUCUGGCCACAAGAUGACCCGAACGCCACUGCUAAAGGAAAAAAAUUGCAGCAUCCUUAAUCAGAUAGUUAGAAAGAAUCACUAUCACCUCAAUGACCUGUGAUAUGAUCCUUUUGAGCUGUGGUAAUCUCUAAAGCCCAAUUCCUUACAAAUGAAAGCUCUGUUCUGGUGCUACAUUCUGGUUAUAUAUAUGUGUAUUUCAGCUUUUUUUUUUUAUAGUUAACUAGAACCAUUCUGUUAUAAAAAUGAAAACUGAAUACUAAAAUUAAACUAAUAAUAACCAAGAAUAAAGAAUGUAGUAGAGAGAUAAAAUAGGAAACUUUUGUCUUUCUUAUUUUUGUUUGUUUUUCUAUAUAAGUUACAAUGCCUUUAUAGGCAUAAAAGGGGUACAAUGGACAUUCAUCAAUUAUUUACAACACUCCCCCUGAGUGUCCAUGUAAAAUAAAAUUCUUAGUGAAGGAACAAGUAUAAAUAGUUAUUCCUAUUACGCAAGUAAUGCCUCAUUAAAAACCUUAUCAAGAAAACUAGUAGGAUAAAACCUUGAUUAAGGAAAAAAGAGUACAAUGCGUAUUUUACUCCCUCUGAUGAAAACCACGAUUCAGUUGUCCAAGUUUUCUCAUUCCAAUCCUAUAUACCAUCUUCUCGAAAGUUGCGGUUGGCAAAGACUUGGUGAAUAAAUCAACCACAUUAUCACUCGAACAGUGUUAUGAAAGGCGCUCGCCUUUCGCCUUUGGCGACAAGGCGAGGCGAAGGGUCAUCGCCUAUUUCCGGCGAGGCGAGGCGACUUCAAAAAGGCGUGCCAUGGUGACGGAAAGGCAUAGGGCGACGUGGUGUGGCGAUGCAAUAGGUGUCACCUUUUUAUUUUUUUAUUUGUUUUAAGUUCUGAUUUAAUAAUUAAAAGCCAAAAUUAGGGUUUUUUUGGGUAUUUUUGCAAACUUGACCUUCGCAAGACGCUCCUCCUCUUCUCCUCAGAUUUCGCGAUUGCUGCUCCUUCGUGGAGACUUCUUCUUCGCGAAUCGCAAUCGCGAUUGCUGCUCCUUCUCAAGUAUGAAAUCUUCUCUCUAGUUCUUCUCUUCUUCUCUUCUAGUUCUUCUCUUCUUUUCUUCUUCUUCUUCUCUACUCUCUAGUCUCUACUCUGUUUUUUUUUUUGGGUGGAACUUCUCUGUUUUUCAGUAUCUAGAGUUUGAGACUAUGCUCGGUUCUGUACUUCUGUGGUAGACUGUAGUGCUCUACUCACUGGACUGGAAUCUACCUAUAUUUAAAAAAAUAAUAAUUUAAUCCUUCUAUAAUUAUUUCUUCCCUACUUAAUUUAGUUUUAUACUAAUUAAUAUAGUAUUUAUUUGUCCAUAAAUAGUGAAUUCAAUGGCGUCAGAUGCUAACAAAAAGAGGGACAUUGCUAAUGAAUGUUAUUGUUAUUGAGAUUUUGGAUUUUAUAUAUGCAAUUAAAUAUUUUACAUUUUUGGUAUUAAUUGGCGCCUCAAUUCAAAAAGGUGAGCGCCUCGCCGCGAGGCGAGGCAGAUCCUUGUCGCCUUUCGCCGUCCAAAACACUGCACUCGAACGAAUCUGAUGUACAUUGAUAUCACCAUUCCUCUUGAGCUCGUGUGUGUAGAAAAACUUUGGUGAAAUGUGUUUUGUUCUAUCUCCUUUAAUGAAUCCUCCCUUGAGUUGUGCUAUGCAUGCUGCAUUAUCCUCAUAUAACUUGUCGCAUUUCAAACCAUAUUUUUCUCGAAUAAGAUGUAUUGUGGACCUUAACCACACACAUUCUCGGCUUGCUUCAUGAAUAGCUAUUAUCUCAGUAUGAUUUGAUGAAGUGGCCACGAUAGACUGUUUUGUAGAUCUCCAAGAUAUGGCAGUACCCCCACAUAUGAAUACGCAACCUGUUUGAGAUCGAGCUUUGUGUGGGUCAGAUAAAUAUCCUGCAUCAACAUAACCAACAAGGUCUGGACUGCAAUCGCUAGAAUAGAAUAAGCCCAUAUUGAUGGACCAUUACCAUUUUUUUAAAAAAAAUAAGCCCAUAUUGAUAGUCCCUUUUAGAUACUGCAAUAUGUGUUUGAUCCCAUUCCAAUGUCUCCUAGUAGGAGCAAAACUAUAUCUUGCUUAACAAAUUAACCGAAAAGGUUAUAUCAGGCCUUGUAGUGUUGGCUAGAUACAUUAGUACACCAAUUGCACUAAGAUAUGGUACUUUAGGACCAAGAAUUUCCUCAUUCCUUUCUUGAGGUCGGAAUGGAUUUUAUUCACAUCAAGUGAUCGAACAACCAUUGGAGUGCUUAAUGGAUGUGCUCCAUCCAUGUAAAAUCUUUUCAACACCUUUUCUGUGAAGGCUGAUUGAUGAACAAAAUUACCGUUUGUCAAAUGCUCCAUUUGCAAACCAAGACAUAAUUUUGUCCUUUCGAGAUCUUUCAUCUCAAAGUCAUUCUUUAAAUAAUCAAUUGCCCUCUUAAGUUCUAUUGGAGUUCCAAUAAGGUUGAUGUCAUCAACAUAAACAACAAGUACAACAAACUUUCAUAUUGUUUUCUUUAGAAAAACACAUGGGCAAAUUACAUCAUUUAUAUAACCUGCCUUAGAUAAAUACACUAAGACAGUUAUACCACAUGUGUCCAUUGCUUCAAACCAUACAAUGAUCUUUGCAAUCUAAUUGAGUACAUUUUUUGAGACUUUGAACUAUAUGCUUUGGGCAUUUUGAAUCCUUGAGGAAUUUUCAUGUAUAUCUCAUUAUCGAGUGAUCCAUAAAGAUAGGCUGUAACCACAUCCAUCAAAUGCAUUUCAAGCCUACAUGGAUCGUGUAACUAAUGAGAUAACACGAUGUUAUUGCAUCCAUAACCGGUGAGUAUGUCUCUUCAUAAUCGACACCAGGCUUUUGAGAAAAUCCUUGUGUAACAAGACGUGCUUUGUACCUUUAUAUUUCAUUUUUCUUAUUCCUUUUCUGCAUAAAGACCUAUUUAUAGCCAAUAGGUUUAACACCAUUAGGUGUUUGAACUAUUGGUCCAAAAACUUCACGCUUGACAAGUGAAUUCAACUAUGAUUGAAUUGCUUCUUGCCAUUUUGGGCAAUCAUUUCUUUGUCGAUAUUCUACAACAGAUUGAGGUUCAAGAUCCUCACUAUCUUGCAUAAUUUUUGGUGCAACAUUGUAUGCAAAAACAUAAUCCACUAUUUUUGAUCAAUUCAGAUUUGUUUCAUUAUCACUUGAUUUUAUGGAUAGUUCAUUAUUUUCUUGAGUCUCAAGCUCAUUGAUCCCUUCAAGGAUACCAAAAUUACUCACAUCUUGACCUUCUAUAUGAGGUUUUUUCAUAUUGUCAUUUUGACCUUUUAUUUUUCUUUUUCUAGGAUUUUGAUCCUUUGAACCUAAUGUUCUACCACCCUUCAGGUGUGCUUUUGACUCAUUAGCUAUGACACUAAUAUAUGGUCCUACAGGGACAUCAAUUUGAAUUGGGACAUUUCUUGCAGGAAAAUGUGAUUUGGUAAUUCUUUUCAAAUCUCUAAAUGCGUCUGGCAUUUGAUUUGUAAUUUUCUGCAAGUGAAUGAUCUUUUGUAGUUCUUACUCACAAAUAGAAGUACGAGGAUCAAGAUGAGGCAAUGAUGAAUUUUCCCACAAAAUUUCUCUUUUAACUUCACUAUUUCUCCCCCUAAUUUUGGGAAAAGUGUCCCAUCAAACCGACAAUCUGCGAACAUAUCUCCAGUUAGUGGUUCAAGGUAGCGAAUAAUGGAGGGUGAUUCAAACCCAAUAUAUAUUCCUAACCUUCUCUGGGGGCCAUCUUAGCGCGAUGUGGUGGUGCUAUCAGCACAUAUACAACGCAUCCAAAAAUUCUUAAAUGAGAUAUAUUAGGUUGUUGACCCAAAACCAAUGGAAAACUUAUGAUAAUUUGUUGGUCUGAGACGAAUAAGUAUUGCAACAUGCAAAAUUGCAUGACCCACACAGGAGUGGGCAACUUAGUUUUCAUAAGUAAUAGUCUUGCUAUCAACUGCAGACAUUUAAUUAAUGACUCAGCCAGACCAUUUUGAGUGUGAACAUGAGCUACAAGAUGUUCAACUCUUAUCCCAAUCAAUAGGCAAUAAUCAUUAAAUGUUUGGGAUGAAAUUUCUGCAGCGUUAUCAAGGUGAAUGGACUUAAUCUAAUUAUCAGGAAACUGUGCCCGUAAUCAUAUUAUUUGUGCCAACAAUUUUGUAAAUGCCAAUUUGUGAGAUGACAGUAGGCACACAUGAGACCAUUUAGAAAAAAACAUCUAUCAGGACAUAAAAUAUCUAAACGACCCACUUGGUGGGUGAAUAGGUCCCCAAAUAUCCCUAUGUAUACGUUCCAAGAACGCAGGGGACUCAAUAUUGGCUUUUGUUGGUGAUGGUCUGACAAUUAACUUGUCUUGAUAACAUGCAUUACAAGAAAAUUCACUAUUUAAAAGAAUCUUUAAAUUCUUUUAAUGGAUGCCCAUUUGAAUUUUCUAUAAUUCAUUUCAUCAUUAUAGAUCCAGGAUGUCCCAGAUGAUCAUGCCAAAGUACGUAGGUAGUGGAAUUAGUAAACUUCUGAUUUAUUAUAGGAUGUGCCUCAAUUGCACUAUUUUUUGUCCAAUACAAUCCAUAAGAUAAGGCUGUGAAUUUUUCUACAACAUAUGUCUGCCUAGAGACAUUUUUGGUUAUACCAAGAUAUUCAAGAUUCAUUUCAUCAGUUGUCUUGAUAUGAUAACCAUUUUCACGAAUAUCUUUGAAACUCAAUAAGUUUCUUCGAGACUGAGGAGAAAACAUAACAUUAUUUAUUAUGAGUUUAGUUCCCUUGGAGAAAAUUACAAUGGCUCUUCCGAAUCCCUCAAUCAAAUUAGCACUAACAGAAAUCGUAGUAACAUUCAUAUUGCCUAUACUUAAAUGGGAGAAAUAUUUUUCAUUUUUGAAUAUCGUGUGUGUUGUACAAGACUGUGUUAGCACAAUGAUUUUCUUGCAUCAUCGUAUUGACAAAAAAUUGAAAAUUGAAUAUCUCACAGUGAAGGAUCCACUUGUUCUGUGGAAUAACCUGAAAGAAAGAUAUGACCAUUUGAAGAUAGUCAUGCAUUCAAAGGCACGAUAUGAUUUGAUGCAUUAAGGUUACAAGACUUUUAAGUCUAUUCAUGAGUACAAUUCUGCCAUGUUCAGAAUUACUUCUCAAUUGAAACUAUGUGGAGAUACGGUUAGUGAUGUUGAUAUGAUGGAAAAAACGUUCUCCACCUUUCAUGCCUCGAAUGUGCUUCUACAGCAACAAUCGAGAAAAAGGUUUCAAGAAGUGUAUUCUGAACUGAUUUCUCAUCUUGUGGUUGAACAAAAUAAUGAUUUAUUAAUGAAAUAUCACGAGAAUCGUCAUACUGGAGCUACACCAUGUCCUAAAGUGAAUGAGGUGUACGCCCACCAUACUAAGCGUGGAAGAGGUCGUGGACGUGACGUGGUCGUAAUUAUGGCCAAGAACGAAGUCCUUUUCCUGGUGUUAAUCAUUCACCAAAGAAAAAUCACUCUUAAAAGGGAAAAAGAAAAGAUAUGAAACGUGAAGCACUUAAAACAAACUAUUUUCGAUGUGGUGGAAGAGAGGUCAUUAUGCACGUGAUUGUCGUACUCCUAAACACUUGGUUGAGCUUUACCAAGCAUCACUAAGAAAGAAGGAUAAAAAUCCUGAAGCUAAUUUUAUCUCUGAAAAAUCAUAUUGACAUCACACACUUGAAUGUAGCAGAUUUCUUCACACCCUGAAGGAAAAAUAGAUCACUUGAUUGGUGAUAGUUUUGUGGAUAUGGAAGAAUAAUCAUGGUUAAUAUUUGCUAAUAAUAAUGUUAUUAAUAUUUGUUGUUUUUGUACUGGUCAUAAUGUGGGAAGUAAAUAAUUAAAUUACUUAUAUUUAUCCACGUAUAUUUAUUAAGUCCCCUUUUAAAACAUCUAUAGAAAUAUGAGUUGAAAUUUUAUAAUGAUUUGAAGAUGAAUUGGAGCAUAUUAAAAUAAUGUUUUCUUCUUAUCCUUUUGUGAGUAUAAAAGAGAAUUUAUACAGUUAUCUUUAAAAGGGUAAAGGGUCAAAAAUUCCCUUGUACUAUGUGAAAUGAUCAAAAAUCCCUUUCAUUUAUACUUUGGUCUAUUUAUGCCCUUAUAGUCAGUGAAAUGGGACAAAAAUGCCCUUAAAUGAAACGAAACCAAACGGAAAAACUUAAACACCAAUUCGGAUGGCAUUUAUGCACCCAUUUGCAUAUAAUGCUUAGUCCAAAAACAUUUUAGCAGAUUCAAGGACAUUUUUGAAGAACUUGAAGUGCAAUUUGUAUUCUUAAAAGCUAACAUAAAUAUAAUGAAAGAAUUCACUGCUCUCCAAUAUGUAUUACCAGAAUUUGACUACCACCACUUUGUGGCAACUAAUCAGCAAUAAUAAUACUUGUUUCCAGCAUUCAAACAAAGAGUAGUAUUGUUAUUCAUUGAUGAAAAUUCAUGAGAAGAUGAUGAUGUAAAUAUUAGAUAAUUCUCCAUUUUAGAGUGUAAAAGAGAGUUUGUUUAAAUAUAAAAAACAAAAAAAAUAUGAUUUUAAAGGUUAUUUAUCAUUUAAGAGUUGGAAUCUAGUGGCUAUGCUGGCUACUAUUCAUCUUAUCUCAUCUUUAUAUAGUCGAAAUUACCGAAAAUAAAAGAAAGUUCUACACCCACUUGAGCAUAUAUGAGAAAUUUAGAAGAGGAGGCUAGGGUUUUGAAGGAGAAGGAAACAAAAUCUGGGAGAAAAAUGGGGUUGUCUUCAGAUGAAAAGACAAAGCAAACAAAUUAACACUAAGUUUAAGUUUUUCCGUUUGCUUCCGUUUUAUUUAAGGGCAUUUUUGGCCCAUUUCACCGGCUAUGCAUAAAUGGACCAAAGUAUAAACGAAGGGCAUUUUUGAUCAUUUGCAUUUUUGACCCUUUUCCCUCUUUAAAAUGAAUAAAGUAAAUGCAUUAUCUAAAUAAAGUAAGUGGAGACAAUAGCUUUUUCUUUUGCCACUCAAAUGUCUUUUCAAGAAAUUAGAUCAUUAUAUUAGUAGUCAUUUUAGACAAGCUAAACUAGACUAAAGUUUACUGUUAAAAGUUUGGGUGAUAAAAGAUCUUAUGCAUUAUUAGUAUAUUCAAAUGUCAUUUUAACACUUCCGUUAUCUCUUAUAUUUUAUGAAUUAUUUAAUAGAAGAUAAUUAAUGAUUUAAUAUAAGAGAUAACAAAAGUGUUAAAAUGACAUUUGAAUCAUUAUUAUGAUCAUAUACUAAUAAUGCAUAAGUUAUGGAUUGUAUUGGACAAAAAAUAGUGCAAUUGAGGCACAUUCUAUAGUAAAUCAUAAGUUUACUAGUUCCAAUACCUUCAUACUUUGGCAUGAUCGUCUGGAAGACUGGGACAUCCUCGAUCUAUAAUGAUGUGACGAAUAGAAAAUUCAAAUUAUAUUUUAUGAAUUAUUUAAUAGAAGAUAAUUAAUGAUUUAAUAUAAGAGAUAACAACAUAAGAUCUUUAUCACCCAAACUUUUAACAGUAAAUUUUAGUCUAGUUUAGCUCGUUUAAAAUGAGUACUAAUAUAAUGAUCUAAUUUCUUGAAAAGACAUUUGAGUGACAAAAGAAAAAACUAUUGUUUCCACUUACUUUAUUUAGAUAAUGCAUCUACUUAUUCAUUUUAAAGAUAACUUUAUAAAUUUUCUUUUAUACUCAUAAAAGGAUAAGAAGAAAACGUUAUUUUAAUAUGCUCCAAUUCAUUAUCAAACUAUUAUAAAAUUUCAACUCAUAUUUUCAUAGACCUUUUAAAAGGGGACUCAAUGAAUAUACGUGGAUAAAUAUAAGUACUUUAAUUAUUUACUUCCCACAUUAUGACUAGUACAAAAACAACAAAUAUUAAUAACAUAGUAACCAUGAUUAUUCUUCCAUAUCCACAGAACCGUCACCAAUCAAAUGAUCUAUUUUUCCUUCAAGGUGUUAAGAAAUCUGCUACAUCCAAGUAUGUGAUGCCAACAAGAUUUUCAGCGAUAAUAUUAGCUUCAAGAUUUUUACCCUUCUUUCUUAGUGAUGCUUGGUAAAGCUCAACGAAGUGUUUAGGAGUACAACAAUCACGUGCAUAAUGACCUCUACCACAUUGAAAACAGUUUGUUUUAACUGCUUCACAAUUCUCAUCUUUAGAUUUUCCCUUUUGAUAGUGAUUUUUCUUUGGUGAAUGAUUAACACCAGGAAAAGGAUUUCGCUUUUGGCCAUAAUUACGUCCACGACCUCUUGCACGCCUAGCGUGGUGGGCGUACACCUCAUUCACUUCAGGAAAUGGUGUAGAUCCAGUAGGAUAAUUCUCGUGAUUUUUCAUUAACAAAUCGUUAUUUUGUUCAUCCACGAGAAGAUGAGAAAUCAGUUCAGUAUACUUGAAACCUUUUUCUCGGUAGUGUUGCUGUAGAAGCACAUUCGAGGCAUGAAAGGUGGAAAAUGUUUUUUCCAUUAUAUCAACAUCACUAACCGUAUCUCCACUUAGUUUCAAUUGAGAAGUAAUUCUGAACAUCAGAAUUGUACUCAUGAAUAGACUUAAAGUCUUGUAACCUUGAAUGCAUCCAAUCAUAUUGUGCCUUUGGAUGAUGGUCACAUCUUUCUUUCAGGUUAUUCCACAAAACGAGUGGAUUCUUGAUUGUGAGAUAUUCAAUUUUCAAAAUUUUAUUGACGACGCAAGAAUAUCAGUGCUUUAGCACAAUCUUGUUUUGAUGAUUUUAUUUUCAAUUUUAGUGGGGUCUCCAAACCCAUUGCAUCCAAAUGGAUUUCAGCAUCCAGUUCCCAAGAAAGGUAGAUCUUGCCCGAACUAUGAAGGGCAACAAACUCAAGUUUAGUAAGAUUAGCCAUAAUAAAGAUAAGAAAAAUAAUAAUACCUUAGUCUUCAAACUUUGAGAUGAAAGAGUCUAUAACAUGUUAUAAAAAUAAAGGCUGCAUACUAAAAUUAAACUAAUAACAACCAAGAAGAAAGAAUGCAGUAGAGAAAUAAAAUAGGGAACUUUUGUCUUUCUUAUUUUUGUGUGUUUUUCUAUAUAAGUUACAAUGCCUUUUAUAGGCAUAAUCGGGGUACAAUGGACAUUCAUCAAUUAUUUACAAUACUUUCUGAAUGACAAAAACUUGCAGUUCACAGCAUGUGCUUCUUUACAGCGCAUAAACCAGUAAAUGUGGCAUCUUUUGGUCAUAAACUUGUAAAACAUAGUUAAACUUAAAUCAAAUUUAUUUAUUUGUUUAAUUUUUGUAUAGGAUGAGUAAUGCAGCAUUUUUGAUAGCUUUAUCUACCCUUGUAAUUCUCCCUGUACCUAGAACCUGAAUUGUGGUUCUUCAUGCUAGAGUAGCAUUUCGCGACAAUGAGACCUAGUUGCUUGCAUCAUAAGAUAUGCAUAGUUUAUUUAAGAACACUUGCCAUUUACUAUAGCAUCAACUUCUCAACAGAUAUUAAUCUUAUUUAGAAUCCGUUUAAUGAAAAAUCCAUAAAGCAUGUGAAUGACAGUCCUUCUUUCAUCAUGAAAGAAACACAACAGACAAUUUCCUUUAUGAGAUAUUGAUCAAAGCCUCAUAUCUUCAGUAACUUUUUCAUAAAGGAUUAGUCCUAGUUGGAUGUUGUAUGGUAGAAUCCUUUCUGUCCAUAUUGCAAAUAGGCUCCGUAUGAAUGUUGUCUUCUACUGGGGUAGAUGGAAAUGCGUGCCACAAAAUCAUUUUUCGCAUUUGAAAAUGUCAGAAAGAUUCUAUGUUCUUUUCUUUUUUCACCUUUCCUCCAUUUUGACCACGUACAUGCUCUUUGCUGUUGAAUUUGGUUCUUUAUUUGUGCAAUUGCAAAUGAUUCUUGAAUUGCAACUUAUAUGAAAGAUAUCACUAACUGUAUAAUGGUUAUGUCAUUUCAUCUUUGUCCUUUGUCUGAUGUGCCCACCUCCAUGCUGGUAUCUGUCUGAUUCCAAAUAAGUAGAAAUAGAACUGGUUCUCAUCCUUUUUAUUUGUCAAAUUAAUUUGUUCACACAUGUUUCAGCUUAUGUUGUUUAAGGUGUCUGCUUGUAAAAAUUGUCAUACGUUUCUUCUGUUGAUAUUUUACUUUUCUGUUGUUGAACAUUGGCAGGGGGAGAAUGGAAAAAUGUCUGCUAGUGAUCCAAAUUCUGCCAUUUAUGUGACCGAUUCAGCAAAAGAGAUAAAAAACAAGGUUGGGCUUUUAAAUAUAUAAUUGCACACCUUCUCAAACAAAAUAAAUCCUUCUCAAAAAAUAUAUUUUUACACAUUUGAUGCACAUCAUAUGUCAACGCUUGUAUCUAUUGAAGGACAUCCAUUUUGUGCAUAAUUCUGUUAUUAUUGAUCUCCUUUUCCUGUGUUGUCUUUUCCUUCUUGGAGGAGGAGGGAGGAUUACUAUAGAUAGUCAUUCCAUAAAAUUCAUUAGAAACAAUGCACCCAAGGAUGUGGCCUAAUGGUCAUGAAGUGGCUGCAAACAAUUGAGAUCAGGAUUCAGAUCUCAGUAGAGAUAAAGGAAACGCUAGGUGAUUUCUUCCAUAUGUCUAAUCUUCAUGGAUAGAGUUACCCGGUAUAUGUGUUGGUGGGAGGUGGCAUGUAUCCGGUGGAAUAGUUGUGAUGUGCACAAGUUGCCACGGACACCCCUUUCAUAAAGAAAAUUAUUAGAAAUAAAGCAUGCUGAACUGAGCAAGUUAAUUAAUAAAGUGAUUGUUGUACAAGACAAAGUAUGACAUUCAAUAUUGGAGGAUGGAAUUUCGAAUACAUAAAGAUUUUCAAAUAAGUUGUCUUUAUCUCCAGACUCCAGUUGUGAGCCUUUUCUUGACUAAAUUUAAUAAAACUUAAGAUACUUUUCUUUAUGAGUCGGUAAACAAUGAUAUUUGUGACAGGCACUCUUGAAAUGAAACGUAUCCCAAUUCUCGUUCAAUACUGGUGAUAGAUUUUUCUUCAAUUACUUUUCUGUGUCAUACUUAUUUCUCUAAGAAUACCAAAGCUUCAAUUUGUUCUUUUUAAUGUUUUUGUUCGUGGAGAGUGGGGUGGGAGGAGGGGGCGGGUUACUAUGUUGAGGCAGAUUCAGAAGCUGAAGGAUUAAAGAAAUGGAGAAACCAUAGAAGAACAACCAACUUAUGUAGAAAAAACUAUCAAAUGAAACCAAAAAAAAACUAGAAUAGUAAAAUUCUGACCACAUUACAAUAAAACACCUAAAGGAAACAAACUAACAUACUAAGUUAGCAGAGGAAUUAAUUCUAAAAAUAUCUUAUCGUAACUAAAGUGACAAAAGAUGCUAAUAAGAAAUAAAAUACUCUUAAGCUCUCACAAGCUUCAUUCAAAUUCAUUCUAAAAAAAGGACACUAAUUAAAUGAGUAUUUAUAGUUAUGAUAACCCAGGACCCAAAUGUACAAAUUCAUUUAAUAGUUAGCCUCUACCGAAAAUGAGUUAAACAAGAGUUCUUGUCACAAGAUUCCUUUGAUUUAAGAAGAUUAAUUGGGCUUGGAUUUCCUUGUUUGCUUCCUCCAUAGUCUUCAAGGUGAUGAUACGAGAUCCUUUGAGGUAAAACCGAUGUAAUUUCUUAGCUUGAAUCCUCAUAACUUGAAGGAUUCACUUGACUUGUUCUAGCUUCCAGAUGUGCAUCAUGUGCGCUAGUGUUUGAUAAAAGUUUGAUUACAGGAGUUCUGACCUAGGUAAACUGGAAACUGAGGCAAUUUGAAUAUGUGAGAAGUUGAUUUGUUUAGCGCCAUUUUAGUUCUUAAUUUUUUUAAUCAAUGAAUACUUAUCAUUUCAAAAAGAAAGUUCUUAAUGUUGGUUUCCAAAAUGGGCAUUAUCCAGAUUGAUUACUCUAUGCUAAACAAAUUAUUUCGAUAAGCAUAAUAAUGACCCUUUAAAUUGUAACUAUGUGCAGAUAAACAGAUAUGCAUUCUCAGGUGGACGAGACUCAAUUGAGUUGCACAGGAAGUACGGAGCAAACCUGGAGGUAACCAAAUUUAUAUGAAUCCCAUAGCUAAUUCGUAGGAUGGAAUGCAUUUCUAUUAAAUGACUGUACACGCUUGAAUAUAUCAUCUUGUAAAUGCAAUUUAUCUCCGCCUGUUUUCAUCUCUGUUGGAUCAAUAUAUUUAACUUUGUACCAUCUUAGCCAUGGAAAAAAAGUCAGCAAACUAAACCUCUUGUCUUGGAUACUGUGCAGGUUGAUAUACCAUUUAAAUAUCUUGGCUUUUUCCUGGACGAUGAUGCAGAGCUGGAACACAUUAGAGAGGUUAGUAUUCAUGCUUUCCCUUGGUGUUUCUUUGCUAUCUCAAAUUUGCAUUUGUAGAACUCCAGCUUUUAGCAUUCAAUUCAGUCCAUGCAUGGACUACCGGCAGAUUAUAUUACCAAUAAUACUCAUAUGCUCAACUUUCAGGAGUAUGGUUCGGGCCGUAUGCUGACAGGUGAAAUUAAAAAGAGGCUAGUUGAAGUUCUAACAGAUCUAGUUGAAAGACAUCGACGGGCUAGGGCAGCAGUGACUGAUGAGGUAACUAACAGUAAUUUUCGGUGAAACCUAAAAUAGCUAGACUUUCUGAAUUUCAAAUUACUCAUUCUCCAUGUUGAAUUGCCUUGGAUUAUCAAUCAACUUGUCCCGACUAUGUCUUAAUUUCAAAUGACAUGAUUUUCUCUUUAGUAACCAAGAGAUUCAAGCUUGGUCUGCUAGCUUAAGUGACACAAAACGAUUAAAAUUAGCACCAAAUCUCCAUUUUCUUUAUCUACAUGCCUUACCAACUCAUUAUUGCUGAGUCGUGCUUUCAAUUAUUCUUCCUAGCAUAAUUCAUUAAUUAUGUUAAUGGUGUGCUGGGUGAAAGCUGGUCCUAGCAUAAAAAAAAGAUAUGCCGAGGGUGUGAAGGUCUCCUCUUAUGAGCAUGACAGUCCAUCAGGAAUUAUUACCUCUUUUUCGAGGUACUCUCAGGGAAUUAAGAAGAGGAGGGAAUUGGAGGGUUCUGCUUUUUCCAAGUGUUCUUUAGUACCUGUUUUGCUUGUCCAAAUUACUGGAUGUCUGGUCUCCUUUCUAUGCUCGUCUCGUUUAAUAGUUUUUUCCUUUCCUCUUCUGUUUCCAAUUUGAUUAAUUUAUUUACUUGUUGCAUGGUCUUUUCUGCAGAUGGUAGAUGCUUUCAUGGCUGUCAGACCACUUCCUAAUAUGUACAAUUGAAUGAGCAAAGUAUAAUUACUUCUGGAUGUUUAAUUCUUGAGGCUCAUUAUUAUUUUCCAUUUACUGAGGUUUUUCUUCUUUAAUUGUAACUGUUUUUUUUUUGUUCUUUCCUGUAGUUUGUUGCUCGUUAUUGUAACUCAAGUUAUGCUCACAAGAACAAUGUCAAGAAGAUGGAUUUGUGGUAGAUUGAACAUGAUUUAUUUUCUCACUUGUAUCCCUUUUUUGUCUGGUUCUUCUCUUGGUUUAUUUGAUUGUCUGGAAAACAUUUUCCUGCAUGUACACUAAUUGCUGCAAUUACAAGAUGCACAUCCUGGACAUGUUAAAAAUGGUUUUGCAGACGUGUAUUAGAAUGUUCAGAUCUUAAAAAGACAAAGUUGUCCUAUUUUUCAGUUGGUUGAGGUUAACUAUGUAUCAAUAACUGAUAAAUCGAUAUACUAAAAGUGAACAUCUCAUGUAAUAAAAACAUAAAUUUAUAAAAUACAAUAAAAUCAAAUCUCCCGUUAUUUUAAAGCAAAUUUUUGACAAUAAGAUUAGUUUUCAAAAUUCUUUAUUUGAAUAAUACAUGAAUUAAAAAACUAAUAAAAUAAGGUAAAUAUUAUUAACUACUAAAGAGAUUAGUAUUAACAUGAAAUAAAUUUGGGUUGGAGGUCUAUGAAAGCAAAGUCCAUCAGAGAAAUUAAAACCUCUUGAUCAUUGGAUACUCCGGAGUACUAUAUUUAACGACAUCAACUUUCUACUACUAGCAUAUUUAAGCCAUGUACUUAUGAAGAGAAAAUGACAUAAAUAGUUUCUUAACUAUAGUAGUAGGUCUAAAAUGGUCCCUUAACUAUACACUUAACGGAUUUAGUUCUUUAACUAUUCAAAAACUUAUUAGCUUUGGUCCCUUAACUAUAAACUUAUUUAAUUUAGUCCUUCAAGUAUUCAAAAACUUAUCAGGUUUGGUCUUUGUCCAUUUUUUUAAAUACAAAUAGCUUAGGCUUAUAUUAACAGAAUUCAUGCCUCGAGAAAUUAAAUCCUUUAACAAUUUUUGUUGUUGUUUAUCUCUCUCCGCUACUUUUUCUUCAAAUUAACCUUAUGCGAAGAACCUUAACCUCAACGAUUUAAAAAUAAAAUUUACGAGGAAAGAAAUAUAAGUCAUAAUUUUAUUCAACAGAGGAUAAAAUGAAGAAUAUUAUUGCUACUAAGGACUUGAAUAUGCUAAACUGUAUUAUAGGAGCGGGGGUUUUACCCUGUGCGCACCCAAAGGGUAGCGGCUGCGGGUUUCCCUUGUCAUAAAAAAAAAAAAAAAAAAAGAAUUUUUUUUAUUACCCGUUAAAUUCAAAGUUUGUACUCCAACGACUUCAUUGAAAGGAAUUUGUUUAAUUUUUCAAAAAUUUAAACUUAUAAAAUGGUAGAUUUGCAACUUUUUUUUAUUUUUUUAAAUAGAUCAAUUUUAUUAUUCUAUUCAUUUUAUUUUACGUAAAGAAAUUUGAGUAACUUAAAUAAAAUCCGCAUUGAUUAGCAUAUUCAAGUGCGGAUUUAAGUCGUUAACAACAAUUAUAUGCUUAAUUUUAUCCUCCAUUGAAUAAAAUUGGAACUUAUAUCUUCUUUCCUCAUUAAUUUAUUUUGAAUUGUUGACAUUAUUGUUCUUUUCAUAAGAGUAGUGUGAAGAAAAAGGGGUUGGGAUAGAGAAACAACUUAAAAAAUAGGUUAAAGAUUUUAUUUCACGAAGAUUUUCAUUAAUAUAAACCUAAACUAUUUGUAUUAAAAAAUGGAUAAAGACCAAACUUGAUAAGUUUUUAAAUACUUAAAGGACUAAAAUCGGUAAGUUUAUAGUUAAGGGACUAAAAUCGAUAAGUGUAUAGUUAAGGACCAAAGCUGAUAAGUUUUUGAAUAGUUAAAUGAUUAAAUCCGUUAAGUGGUAUAGUUAAGGGACCAUUUUAGACCCACUCCUAUAGUUGAGGGACUAUUUAUGUCAUUUUCUCUACUUAUGAAUAUUGUAAGAUUUUUUUUUCUCAACCCGGUGUUCAGAGCCCACAUUGGAGCUCCGACUAAAUUCGGAUUGUGCUUUGCAAGGUCCAUUUGGGGGUGACGCUCCCAACAUGAUUUUUUCCAUACCAGGCUCGAAACCAAGACCUCUGAUUAUGAGUGUAGUAGUCUCACCACUGCAUCACAAUCCAUAUUGGUAAUAUUGUAAGAUUUUUGUUUAAUCUGUUUCCUCAUACACUAAAAAAAAAGUUACAAAAAUAAUUUAAAAAAUAACAUUUUCAUAUGUUAUAUGAAAAAAUAAAUUAUUUUUAUAUUUUUUUUUACUUAUAAUCUUAAAAAUAAAUUGUAAAUAACCUACAAAAUUAAUUAUGUGAUCAAUGUUGUGGCAAAAAGGAAAAAUAAAUACCUAGAAAUAACAAAAAAGAUCAAAUUUGCUCAUAAGUAUAACUUAUGAAAAAUAGAUCAUUAUACUCUAUGUUAUAUCUCGCCAUUAUUCGGAGAGACUACAAAUACCUUUCAAUAUACGAAAACCCGAGUUUCGCAAGAGAAAACAUCUGCUCAGCAAACCCUAUGCCUGUCUCUGGUACAGAGGGUUGCUUACUCGCAAAUCUUCAUCCGAUUCAACUAAUUUGGGUUUCCAUUAUUGGACUGUGAAGAAGAAGAAGAAGAAGAAGAAGAAGCAGAAGCAGAAGAAGAAGAAGAAGAAGAAGAAGAAGAAGAAGAAGAAGAAGAAGAAGAAGAAGAAGAAGAAGAAGAAGAAGAAGAAGAAGAAGAAGAAGAAGAAGAAGAAGAAGAAGAAGAAGAAGAAGAAGAAGAAGAAGAAGAAGAAGAAGAAGAAGAAGAAGAAGAAGAAGAAGAAGAAGAAGAAGAAGAAGAAGAAGAAGAAGAAGAAGCAGAAGCAGAAGCCAUGGGAGAAAGGAAGGUUUUAAACAAGUACUAUCCGCCGGAUUUCGAUCCGGCAAAGAUUCCUAGGCGAAGACAGCCAAAGAAUCAGCAGAUGAAAGUGCGUAUGAUGCUUCCAAUGAGUAUUCGUUGUGCUACUUGCGGUAAUUACAUCUAUAAGGGUACCAAAUUCAAUUCCCGCAAAGAAGACGUCGUUGACGAGGUAAUUCCAAUUUACCCCUUUAUUUUUGCAGUUGUUGCUAAUCUUUCAAUUUUGGGAAUUUGGGGUUUGUGUAUAUGUACUGUUCAACUAAUAUUCUGAUGGGUUUUGUGAAAUUUUGUGAGAACUAUGUUAUAUGGGUGGUGAACCUUAAAUUGAAAGUUUCAUGAGUAUAUGAUAACCUAUGUUGUGGCUGAGAUUCUUGUUUGGUUCUAGAAUUGUGUAACUGUUGAUGAGAAGUUCGGACUUGGCAUGGGAAUAAAACGGAUAGUUGAACUGAGUUAUGGGGAUAGUGGUUGCAUCAAAUAUGUACCGUGUUUAGGCAAAUUGUUGUUGAUUAAAACUAGUUUUUCCACUGUUUUGGUUAAGCAAUACAUUGCUUCUUCUGUGCUGCUAAUGUUCUUAAAUUUGUAGAUUAUCCAAUAGCAACCAUUAACAUCUACGUUUUAAUUUCUUAUUGUAAUCUGCAAUGGUUGCUAUCUUAUUUCCCAGUUAUAGUUAUCUCUUAGGUGACAUGAUAUUAUGAAAAAGAUGUAAAGCAUGUGGACAAACCUGUCAACAAUAUCAGUAAAGAGCUCAAGUUCAUCCAAGUACCAUAAAAAUCAUAGAUGUCGUCAAUUAUUGUGAGACGAACAGAAAGCUUUGUUGAAAGCUUUCUGCAGUAUCCGAACCGAGGAUUAGUAGUGAAACCAACAGCCCAGAAAAAGCCCACCACCAUCUUUACCUCACAAAGGUCAUCUUUUUAACAAGUUUAAUGUUCUUGUCCCACCUGCAAAACAUAUCCCCAAGUGAAAUUCUCAGUAUUGAAAGGAUAUUAUAAUCAAAACUAAUGUGUUUGAUAUGCCAGUCUUUUUUCGGGGGAAAUUGUAUCUAAUGAGAGUCAUUUUCUGGCAUUCCUUACAACUAUCUUAAUUUUUUUUUAACUUCACGUUCCUUCUUCCAAUUAAUAAGUAGACAUUAUUAAUCUUUUUUUACUACUCAAAUUCUUCAUUAAAACACUUUCCGACUUGCUAUUAAUAAUCUUGUACAUAUGUAUAUAAUUUUUGGAAAAUAUUUUCUAGGAAAAUAGGUGGAUUUCGUACUUAUGUAAGCAAAGAAUAUUAUCCUACAAAUAUUUGUAUAUAAUCUAGAUAAAUACUAGUGAGGCUUGGGGGGUUAGGGCGGGUUGAAAAUGAGGCGGGUUUAGGGUGGUGAAGACGCAAUCAUUGUGGAAUGUGACGAGUGGAACAUGCUUUCUCUGUUUCCACUAGGAAAGUCAUUUGCCUUGUUUCUGUUGCAAGGAAAUGGCAUAACUCUCAAACUAUGAACUAAUUUUCAACUACAAAAUGCCCCGCCAGGAAAUUCUGUAGAUUACAAUUUACAUCCUUUUCAUACUAUCAUGGCACCUAAAAAUUUGUAUGUUAUCCAAUAGCAACCAUUACUUCUUAAUCAUUCAUUGUUCAGAUUUAGAGACAACAUCUUGAUAUUCAAAUGUGUAUUCAGGUUCAGACGUUUUAAUCUUAAUGCACAUCUUUAUUUUCUGAUGUAUAUUCAAAUUCAUACAUCUUUUUCUUAAUGAAAACAAAUGCACAUCUUAAUAUUUAGAUGUGUAUUCAAAUUUGGAUGUCAUAAUCUUAAUGGAAACAAAUGCACUUCGUAAUAUUCUGAUGUGUAUUGAAAUUUGGAUGUCUUAAUCUUAGUGGAAACAAAUGAGAACUUAAUGACUGAGAUCUGAAUGAUUAAGAUUCAACCUCCAUUUAGUGCAAACAAAUGAGGUCUUACUCUGUAAUGGACAUGUUCCAAUAUAUGCGUGUGUGUUUGUAUGUUCUUGACCUGAUUUGUAAUCACGUGUCAAAUUAUGCAGACCUACUUGGGAAUACAAAUUUUCAGAUUCUACUUCAAGUGCACAAAGUGCUCCGCAGAGAUUACUUACAAGACAGAUCCCAAGAAUUCCGAUUAUACUGUUGAAUCAGGUGCAACUAGGAAUUUUGAGCCUUGGCGUGGCAAAGAUGAGGUUAGAAUUUUAUCGUCUUGUCUUCAUCAUAAAGAAUUAUAUCAACUUGUUGUUGUAUUCAUAUCCAGCACUUCCUUUUGUAGAGGAAAGAGCGUGAACCUUAUGUUUGAUAUAAAAUAUUUCGUUUUUUCAUUUUUCAGGUUCCAGUAUCUUGUGCAUUCAUAUUUAUGUUUUCUUUUUUCUUUUUACUUUUAGGAAAUUGAGAAGGAGAAACAAAAAAGAGAUGAUGAAGAAAUGGGCGAUGCAAUGAAGUCAUUAGAAAAUAGAACAUUGGAUUCAAAGAGAGAAAUGGAUAUUCUUGCUGGUUUAGAUGAAAUGAAAUCUCUGAAGGUGAGUCCUGAAGUUUCUUCUUGAGUAAUUUUUGUUUUUUGCCUUGCUACAUUGCUGUGGUGUAUAUUCUGUUUUCGUUUCUGACAAUUUUCCUACUUUUUAAACCCCAACUUUUUCAGUCAAGGCACGCAACUGUGAGUGUAGAUGCAAUGCUUGAAGCUUUGCAGCGGUCACAUGAGUCAAAGGUAUGAUGAUGUUUCUUACUGUUUUCAGGUCUGAUUAGGAGUGAAGAUUUUCUCCCUGAUGACUAAGUGUUCAGUAUCAUCUCAUGUCUGUUGAUUGGUUAAUUUAGAGAACUUCAAAUUUCCUAUAUAAAGUUGCUGGAUGUAUAAACUUCUUUAGACACAGAAUAUGGAUUUCACUUGAGGUCAGUCAUGACCAAAGCUUUCAAAAGAAAUUGUUGUUUAUCAGAUCAAAUCAAUAUGCUCCCCCACUAUUCAAAUUCUAUGUGCUGAAUGAUAUAGCCCUUUUAAUUAUGAAUCAAAUCACAGACUAAACUUUUCAAUUUACUUCAUUCUUGAACACCAUCUUUUAUUAGAUAUUGUGUAACUCAAGCUCAAGACACCUGUUCAAAACAGUAACAGAAAAAAAGAAGAAGAUAGAACAGAAUUACUUAAAUUAAAAAUAAAGGAUUGUUUUUUGUGAAAUCACACAUUUUGAAGUCUGAUUAGAUCAUUCGAGGUGUUUAAUUGUUAGUGGAGAAUCAUAGAGAAUUUUAAUUGAAAUUGAUAAAUGUAAAAGCAAAAUAUAAAAAAGAAAUUUAAACAAAGAAAAAACUAGAGUUGAUGUGUUUAGGUUGAAUUUUGGUCACUCUUAUCCUAACUGUAUAUUUUGGAGUUCUUUUGGUAAAUUUGAUUGUGGACUUUAAGGUUCCAUUUUUACUCUACAUGCAAAGAACGUUAGCUUGGAGAUGAUGUUGGUGUUUGUUCUUAGGAAGCACCAAAAGUAUCUCUAAAUCUUGUAAGGAGUAUGGAAGAAAAAAUAAUGACUUAAAUGAAAGGCUAUUCAGGAUGAUGAGAAUAAUCACGAGUGGUAAGCUCUAAUAACUAAUUAUGAGAAUCUGUUGACGUACCUUUUUAUAAUUAGUUGCCCAGUAAUGUGAAACAUUUGACUGCCUGCCUGCCUGCCUUCUUUAUCAUAUUAAUGCCAAUCACCUUUACAGGAAAAAAAGAUGGAGGAACAAGAUGAAGCUCUCAUAAGAUCAAUUUUCCAGGUUGGUAAAUCAUAGUCUGAAUAACUAUUAUUAGUUCAUAGGUGUACUUCUAAAUUCUGAUAGUGUAAAUUUCUUAGCAAGUUUUCUUGGCCUUUUAAUUUCAAAUCAGGGAUCAAGAGAGACUGUCAAAAGAAUCAAUGAUGAAGAACUUGAGGAUGAUGACGACGACAACUUGGCUUUCUUUACCCCUGAAAGUGCAGGGUCAGAAAACAACUCUCUAAAGGUACAAGUGCCUGGUUAUCUAAUUCAGUUUUCCAAAUUCCAAUUAUUAUAUUGCCAUCAACCCACUUCCGUACAACACAGAAAUAAAUAAUUAAAAUGGCAGCAUCUACAAAAUGAUUAGUCUCCUUUACGUUGGACCUGCCAUAUGUCUGAUAUACAACUAAAGAAAAAUAGAAAAAUACAAUGUAAAUCCAUAAAUUAGAUUACAGUUUUGUUGGGAGCAGCGCAUCUACUGUUAGACUUAAAUCUAAAUGCAAUAUCAUGUCUUAACCUUCUUUUUGUUGUUCCUUUUUAACACUAUGCUUAUUAUUGUUUAAAUGCAGAAGAGAAAGGUUUCCGAGGAACCUGAUGAAAAGCCCACGAACUUUUUGACGAAAGCCAGCAUUAAUGACAGCUCUAAAAACAAAGGUAGGCUCAGUUUAUUUAUCUGAUUCUCUUCUGAGGGUUUCAUUGCUUCCCAUUAUACCAACAUCCUUGUAUGACUUUUGGUGGAUGAAAUGUUAUAAACUCUUCAAUGAUCGUAGAAUUCGUAGGUUUUACUUGGGGAAAAGUAGUAAUAAUGGUCGUCUUUACUUUUUUGGGACAUUCUGAUAGAAAAGCUUCUGAGGGAUCUCUAACCCUAUCUUCACGACCUAUCUUACAGAUAAAGCAUCAGCAGGUGAGAGUAAAAUCAUUUUGAAGUCCUCAUCAGUCAAAAUAUCCAUAGUCAAGAAGCCAGUCUCGAACUCCAACAGCAAGCAGACAGUAGAAUUUAACAAGCAAGACGCGCAGAGCACUGGUGCUGCGACAAGCAGUGGUCUACUCUCGUUAAGUCAACAAUAUGAUAGUGAUGACGAUGAUUGAUUUAGUGAUCCCUUCAACCUCUAUUUGUCCAGAUAUAUCCGCCAAAACUAUUAACCGCGGGUGUGAUUUUCAUCGGGUAUGCUCUUCCUAUGGACACUUGAAAUGUAUGCAAGCUCAAGCUUUGGCUCUCUGCGAACCACCCCGUCUGUCAGUAUCAAUUGGGAUGUAUACGUUGCAUUUUUACAUAUUUUAUAACUAUCUCAAUGGUUCAAGAAAACAGUUCCUCCAUUGUUAAUGCAAAACAUCUCUCAUUAUACUUUGCCUUCUUUAAUUUCCUCCUUUCUAAUUUAUGUCUUAUUCUAUAGUUAGUCGUUAAUAAAAUGAUUUGCAGCUAAAUUUUUUAUGGCUUAUGUUAAGACUACAAUCCACUAGUGGAUUACUUUGGGUAUGUUGUCGUUGUAGGUUAGACCACAUGUUCCAAGAAAAGAACUCUUAUUUCCAUUCAAACAUACAUAAAUUGAGAUGGAGUGAGUAUUAUUUUUAUCGGCAUUUCUAGUAAUUUCCAAAAUAACCUAGAAAAAACUGAAGCUUUCGUAAUCAUAUUUUGUUGAAAGUGAAAGUCUGGAGUGUGCAUCAAUCUAUUUGGUUUGGUUUUAUGUAUUAUCGAUUUUCGAUUUUUAAAUAUGUUAAAUCAAUAACUAAACUAAUAAGAUAUUCUAUAUGGGUUCUCAAUUUAUUGGUUUUGAUCCUUAAUGGUUUGAUUUUACCAAUAAAAAAUGAUCAUAAAAUAAUUACGUAACUUCCAAUAACUUGGUGCGACAAGACAAUAAUGUAACUUUACAAAUGCUCAUAUAAAGUGACUAUGUAACAUGAAAAAAAAGAAGUUGUACAAGUGCAACAUAAAUAAAAGGAUACUGUGAAUUGAAGGCAAAAAGGCAAAGGUAGCUAGUAACGGAUAAUAUAUUUUAUAGGGGCAAAGUAGUAUAUUACUAUUGUUUUAAUGGGUUAUUCAAUACAAUAACAUUUUUUUCGAUUUGAUUUUUGCCCACCAUUUUUAAAACAUAAACCUGUGCCAAUCCAACCGGGCUAUUGUUGGCAUAUCCAAGUAGUCCGACCCGACAAAGUCGGAAACCCUAGCCACCACUGUUAUUCUUCUCCAUAACAUACUAUAUAAAUGCCCUUACAACCCUAUAAAAAUUCCGCCCCUUUGUGAACCUCAAAAGCUCCAGAUAGCGGAACUUGAAGAAUUCCCCUGUUAAUUUUGUUGCUGUUUAGGUAAAAUUGUUCAUCAGCUUGUUUUAUAUUAGAUAGAUUUAUGUAAAGAAAAGGUGACCAAUUAGCCAGUCACACACACAUCGGCUCGCCGAUGUUCUACUCCGUGUGAAUGGUCAGUAUGUUACCGAUAGUAAUAUCAAUGGUGUUUGAUAGUCUUAUACUGGUGAACUGCGUUUAUUCCGCUUUCACCGACGAGGCUAUUCCCAUUACAUUCAUUCGAUUUCUAUGCAUGAAAUUUGAAAAUUGGGUAUACAAGUUGCAGCAAACAUCACUUGAAUCUAAUAAGAUGAUUCACAAUAUCGGUAGAACAGAUUUCACUAGUUAUUAGGAUAUAGCCAUGGAUGAUCAGGUGGAUAUUGUAUGAAGGCCGCAAUAGAAACUUUUUAGAUUCGUAAGGCCUGUAACAUUUGAGAUUUUCUUAAAACAAUCUAAAAUGAAAUAAAAAAAUAUUGACUAUAAUUAAAUAUUGUAGACGUUAUUUUUUCAAAUUGACUUGUAAAAUUACACUAAAUAUUAUUAUUGUUAUAUGAUACAACAUCAAUCAACUAAGAAUCCAACAUUUAGGCCUAAUUCUUGAAAUUUCCAAAUUUUACCAAUUUAGAUAAUCCCAAAAAGUGGUGUUACUACAUUCAUUGAUGAAAUACUUUUUUGGAUGAGACUAUGAAUGACCUACAUUUUUCUAUAAAAAAAAAAGAUUUUACUCAACGUGGACAAGUUAUAGUAAACUUUAAUUUAAAAUAUUAACUACCAGUAAUACAAGCAGACAAAUUUAAGAGUCUACAAAAAUAUUUCAUAAAGCAAAAGACACUUCGAAUCAACAAGAGAGGGGCGGGGCGGGUGCCCGCACACGCAUAAACCUGCAAAGUCUUUACCCCGCUCCGCUUUUGGAAAAAUUGUAUGAAAUAACAAAUUAUUAAUUCAAAUUAAAUGUUAUAUCUAUAGUUUAUUUUAAUUGUAAUUUGCAGCAACAUUCCCUUUUUUUGACAUUUGAUUUGGUAUACAAUUAGUCAUUUUAUAUAUUUCGAUAUAAAAUAUAUAAAAAACGUUUGUGUUUGUAUAAAACGAGAGAAAAAUGUAUAUAUACAAAUACAAAUGUAUAUAUUUUCGUCAUAUACACUUAUAAUUAUAUAAAUGCAUAUUUUAUUAUACAAAUUACAAUUUAUAAAUUGAAUUUAUACAAAACUGAACAAUUUGUAUAAAAUUGAAUGUUUGUAGCGAAUUAUACAAAUCAAAAGCUUCAUAGCAAACAUAAAAUUUGCUAUGGAGUGCAAUUAUGCAAACUAUAGCUAUAACAUAUAAAUAUGAUUUUUAUGUUUGCUAUAUGUGAAAGUUGCUCGUUAUUUUUUUCUUGCCCCACCCCGCUCCACAUGAACCCGCCCUGCCCACAACUUGUGGUGGAGUGGUAGUCCUUCAUCCUUAACCAAGAGGUUUCAGGUUCGAGUCUCCUUGGGUAUGGAACCUCAAUGUGGGACUUUCGAUUGUGAGUUCAAAUUUAAUCGAGUUCCAAUGUGGAUACCAAACACCGAAGGAGAAUAGAAGAAAUGGAAAAGAAUAAUAUCCAAGAAAUAGUACCCCUGUAUAUACAUACGUUAAGAAAAAUGUUGUAAUGUCUAAGUAACCAUGAUAGUACUUUUUUUUAUCAAGUAAAUAUAAGACUUUGGAGCGGAAUAGUGGAGAAGCACACUCAAGUAAAAAUAUGAAAUUUCUCUAAAAUAAAAUAUUCUAAUUAAAAAAUAUAAAUAACUUAUACAGUUAUACUCAUAUUUAAUUAUAAAAAAGAAAAACUAUUUAUUUCUUACAUUCUGUUUUUAAUCUAAUGGGUCAUAAAAAGAGAAAUAAAUGGAAAUAAAUUGAGUAUGUAAUUAUAGAUAUACUUCAUUAUAUAUGUACAUAUUUUUAAAAAAUCUAUCUAAAUAGAAAGCUUAUCAAGCUAUUUUUUGUGUAGAACUUUUUAUUAUAAAGGUUUAGAUAUUUGACAUCAAAAUGUGUGUAUAUAAUUCAUAUUAUAGGGAUAUUUUUAAUGUUAUUUUAUCCAACAUUAUGUCAAUCACCCAUAAAAAAUGUACUUAAUUAAAAAGCUAAUCCUUUCUUAAUAAGAAGUUCCAUUUUCAGCUUUGGAUCUGAACCUUUUUUUUCUACAAAAAGCCUUCUACCUAUGAGUUUCGUAAAUUUAAAUUAGUUGAACUUUAAUCCAAAAAAUACUUAAUUCUAAUUCAUAGCAGAUUUGUGUUAGUCUGAUUUACCCGAAAUUCAUGAACCGACUUACCCGAUCCGAUUAAAUCCGGGUUACUCAUCUAUCUAUAAAUUAGGGCAAAUAAAGGUUCAGAUAUUUUUCUCUUCUCUUUCCAGCGAAGAUGUACAACGGAAUCGGCCUACAAACGCCGCGAGGCUCCGGCACCAACGGCCACAUCCAGACCAACAAGUUCUUCGUCAAGUCGAAGACGAACAAAGUCCUUGUAGACGGCGGCAAAGGUUACGAGUCCGGUCAAGGAACUGCCGGAGUGUCGAGGAAAGCAAACAAGGACAUUCUCGAACAUGACCGGAAACGGCAGAUUCAGCUCAAACUUCUUGUCCUUGAGGAGAAGCUUGCCGAUCAGGGAUACACUGAUGCUGAGAUCUCCGAGAAGCUCGAGGAAGCGCGAAGGAAUCUAGAGGCAACAUCUGAGGAAUUUGGAGGACCUACCUAUGAAAAGUAAUUUGUUUUUCUGAAUUGUAGUUAUAAUUUUUCCACAAUAUGCGCAUUGGAUCAGUUUUUGGUUAUGAACUAGCUAAUGAAUUUCUGGAUUUGACUGAUUUGAUGCUGUUAUCAUUCGUCUUUAGAGAAUUUGCUAUGUAUUAUAUUUGGAGCCACCAGAGUUGAUAAGGAAAUAGAAAUAUGAUAAGUACAAGGAAAUUGGAGAGGGAAAAGAAGUGUUGUUAUUACUUACAAUUUUGUGAUGCUUUUUUUUAGGUCAUAUUUUUUGUUGUUUUGUUUUUGAUCGGACUAUGGUACUAUUUUGAGAAGUUAACAUCUUUUUGAUUUAGUAGGCUUUUUAAGGAGAUAAAAAAUGUUGUUUGCUUUCAUUUAGUCUCGAUGAGAGGAAGUGGGAAAUGUCAGUUUAGCAGGAUGAACUAUAGAAUUUGGAUACAGAUAUGAGUAAGUCUGGUUGAUUCUUGUGUCCUCUUAACGUUAAAUUUCUACCCGGUUUCAAAAAUCAGGACUUAAUUUGUUUGUUUUUUUCAGUCUUUUUAUAGAUACUGUGAGGUUGAUAUGCAAUAACUAAACUUGUUCAUUCCAGGGUUUCGGAAACACAAACACACCAGAUUGCUGCUUUGAAAGAAAAACAAAUGGAAAACUUAAAAGCUGCUCUCAAGAUAGGGGAUGAACACGAGACUCAGAAGCAGCAGCAUGAUGCUUUAGCUCAUUUUGAAGAGGGUGAAGUUAAUGACUUGGCAAAAGAGAAGGACGAGGGUAAGCGUCAUAAAAAAAAAGAGAAGAGAAGAGGACGUGACAAUUCUUCUGACACUGACAGCAGUGAAAGCCAUGCCAAAGAGUCUAAAAAGAUCCGUAAGAAGGCUCUUGCUAGUUCUGAUUCUGAUACUGCUGGUGGUAAUAAGUCAAGAAAGUUGUCUGUCAAGGGCAAGAAGGCUAGAAGGCGGCAUCACAGUGAUGAUUCAUCGUCUGAUUCUGAUUCUGACUCUUAUUCAGAGUCUGAUCAUGAGAAGAAACAGGUGAAAGUCCAUAGGAGACAUUUUGUGGGUGAUGAUGAUGGCCGUGAUGCAAAAACCAUUAAGCUUCAACAGGGUAGAAGACAUGAUUCUGAUGAGGAUGACCAUGUCAAUGACCGUGAUGUCAAAAACAAGACGAUUCAGAAAGAGAAAAGACAUGUUGCUGAGGAUAAAUAUGAUGAUGGUCGUGAUGCUAAAAACAAGACCUCACAAAGAGGUAGAAGACAUGAUUCUGAUGAGGAUGACCAUGACAAUGACCGUGAUGUCAUAAACAAGAUGAUUCAGAAAGAAAAACGACAUGUUGCUGAGGAUAAAUAUGAUGAUGGUCGUGAUGCUAAAAACAAGAAGUCACAAAGAAAACACUAUUCUGAUGAUGAUGGUGGUGGUGAUCCUGAUGUAAAAAUCAGGAAGAUUCAGGAAGGGAGAAGACAUAACUCUAAAGCUGAGUAUGUGAUUGAUGGAUCAAGUGCUAGUCAGGAGUUGUUGCGGGGUAAGAGAAAACUAGACGAUGAAAGCCUGGAUCAACGUGAGGGGAAGUCAAGGAGGAAAUGACAAUGAUGAUGGUCGUGAUGCUAAAAACAAGAAGUCACAAAGAAAACACUAUUCUGAUGAUGAUGGUGGUGGUGAUCCUGAUGUAAAAAUCAGGAAGAUUCAGGAAGGGAGAAGACAUAACUCUAAAGCUGAGUAUGUGAUUGAUGGAUCAAGUGCUAGUCAGGAGUUGUUGCGGGGUAAGAGAAAACUAGACGAUGAAAGCCUGGAUCAACGUGAGGGGAAGUCAAGGAGGAGAGAUUCUAGUAAAGACGAAAAGUAUUUAAGGGCUGAUACUGAAGCUGAGAACCCAAAUAGGUCAUACAGGAGUACAGAGGAUAGGAGUAAAGAUCAACAGACAAGAAGAUCUGGUGGAGAAUAUGAAGGUAAUGAUGGAGAGCGUGAAAAUAAGAUUCAGAGUGGGAAUGAGCUGCAACGUGAAAGCCAACGGGAGAAUCGAGAUUAUGAAGUGCGUGGACAGGAGAGAAGAGAAAGCAGGGAUGAUGACCGCUGGGAAAGGAAACACAAAAGAGAUGAAGAGGAAGAUCAGUACCGGAAGCAUGAGAAAGAAGGGGAAUCUCAGCGUGGAAGGCAUGAACAGGAGGAGGAGCAUAGAAGCAGAAUGCGUGAUAGUUACAAAGAUCAUGAUUCAUACAAGAGGGCUAGACAUGAUGAUUCACAUUCUAGUGGAAGGAGAAGAUAUGACGAUGAAAAGUAUGCUGAUAGGCAGACUAGGCGGUGAAAGCUGCUCUAUAGAUAUUGUUUUAUGUCGGAAGAUCAAUAGGUGAGUUCAAACUUGAGAUAACUUGCCUUGUUCUUUACGGGAGAGGUCCCUUAAAAAUGAAUUUCAUAAAGAAACUCAUAAUUGAUUAUGGUUUCUUUUUUAUUAAUUAUGUACUGCUUAAUUACUUGCAAAGUCCUUCCACUAACAAAAUAUUCCCAUUUAAACUAUGUACUGCCCAGGUAUAAAAAAUAUACUGCUAGAAGUGAAAACUGAAGUGUCCUUAGAAAGUAAAAAGAAGACAUUAGAACUUUGCUGACCUUAAAUUUCACUGACAGCUUCAAUCAAAUGGGAUAGUCACUUUCUGCUUACAUCUGGGGUCUUGGUUUUUACAUAUGUUAUAGUAUAUGGGUUUACAUCCCCGUUUGGUUUUUCUUCCAAUAAAUUUUAAAAAGAUGUCCAUGCUUUUCAUGGAAACUGGAGCGUUGAUCAUACCAAGCUGCCAUUACCAUUUGAGUGGACAAUUCUUCAAUUUCAAAAUUGCCACUUGAAUCUUGAAAGAAACUUUAAUUGUGCAUUAGUGGAUGAGCCGUUGAAAAGAAAGGUAGUUUUUUUCCUCUUUGGCAGGUGUUUUGCUACUAUUUAGGGGUGUUUCUUAUUCGAACUUAGCUAAUCUGUGAGGGAAUAUAACUGCUGGUCAAGGCAAGGGUAAAUUCCCAAGGCAAUGAGGAGUAGAGAAAUUGGUGCUAAACUGGAAUGUAUGUAUAUAUUUGAACAAAUGAUUCCUUUAUUGUUAAUCAACACCAAAAAAAUGAUAAGAGGCUCUUGUUUUCUUUGGCCAGAUUCCUUACACCUACGUUAGGAUUGUUCAUUAUAUCCCCCCUUUCAAACUGAUUAUAUCGUUGGGCUCCAAUUCUCUUACAAUUAUGACACAACGAUUCGAAGAUUUAUGGUUACUGCAUUGAACAUGCUCUUUUCCAAGUGCGCUAUGUUUCAGAAUGAAGCUUAAAAAAUGUGCGCAUUUAUUUAUAUCCUUUAGAAGAAUUACAUUAUGUGAUUGGCUGACAUCCUCACAAUUUGUUUUAUUUGCCCGUUUCAGCAGCUCAGUGGAGGGGAAGAAGUGGCUGAUGUCUGGAAAACAAGCAUAAAGAGGCAUAGUUUGGUGAGCUGUCUAGUAUCAAAGGGAUAUGUGUGGGGUUUAGUUCUCGAAAUACUCUGAAGUGUAGCUAAAUGGGAUUUUCCUGAUGACCCUGAAAUUGUUGUGCAAGGGUUGGCUGUAAUAAGUUCUUUUGUUGUCAUAUCUUUGACUCUUGUAUGAUUUCUUAUUUGGGAAUGUGUGCUACAUUUGCUUCCUUGUGUGAAGUGAGGUUCCAGGCUCAUGUAGAACAUGCAUGUUUUUCCUUUUGGUGAUUUUGAUUGCAAUAGAUUCUGCAGAACAUGUUUUGGAAUAGAUGAUUUGGAUGCAUGUGGCUUGAGGUUUUCUAUUAAUGAGGAUGAUCGAUCACACACGCUUAAAGCGUUUCUCUAUCCUUUGCACAGACUUGCUUCAUACUAUGUCAAAAGCAGGUUGGUAGCUUCCCACCUCAAGAAAGUUCCCUCUCACUCAAUUCUAUAACAUGUUCUAGGGCAUCUUUUUCUAAUAACAAUGUUAGCGGCACUUUUGAGAUGCUGCCUUGAAAUUGAGUCUUGUCAGUUUCAUUUGACUCGGGGCGUCAGGGACCCUCCAACAGAAACCUUGUCUUUUUUGUAGUCGAUAAGUUCUUCCUCCUAAAAUGUCUAGUCUACUCCGCAAAUGUAUGCAGUGAACAAACCACUCAAGCAUUUGACAUAGUAUGAAGUUGCUUUUCUCUUAGUUUUGAGCUGUGACUUUGAAAGAAGUUCUUGGUAGGUAGCACUUACCUCGAAUGUGCUCUAUAGUUGGGCUCCAUGUAAACAUUGGAUGGAAGCCAAUCUUUUUUUAGUUACUUUCAUGAGAAGUAUUUUCUGAAAAUGUAUUUCAUGAUUAUCGAUUUGAGGGUGGAAAGUACUUUUGAAAUGAAUAUAUAUUAUAUAUAUAUCAAAGAUUGAUAUUAGGUAUUUUGAUUGAACUUUUGAGGACUAGGGAAUAGGGAUAAUAGUAAUGUCUGAGCGUCAGAUGGAACAAGUUAUGCGAAUUAAAAGUUAAGAUAAUUAUAGGUAAAAAAGGUCAUUAUUAGGAAAUCAUUUUUCCUCUUUGAUGAAAUAUUUUACUCAGAUCAGACCCCUAUUCUAAAGACAUUCGUUUUCUAUUUCCAGAGUCCUAAUGUCACUUUGAAAUUUUUUGGUAAAAAUAAUGAUUUCACUAAGGGAAGAUAGACAUAUUGUACAAAAGAAAGGAAUAUCAAAUGGGCGGCUUAAACUUCAGCCAUGGAAGGAUGAAGUUUCGUACAUUUAAUAUACAUACAUAAAAUACAUGCCGAACCAACUUGUGCACACCUAAACUAGUCCACGGGCGAAGUCAGGAAGCUGAGUUGAAGCUUGCCACAUCAUACAAGUACAAGUGUCUGGUAAACUUGUCCACCAAGAUAGGAGCAAAUGUGCUCACAUGUAGUAUUAUAGCUAGAGGUGUCCUCGCGGAGCCAUAAAUGUAGUUAACUUACUCAGGUACAAAAGGGGUUGGUUCACGACAGAGAUUUCUGAUAUUGUCGAACCCAGUUAUCAUAAUCCUGAAGCAGUUGUUGCAAUAGCAACGGUACUAGCCUGUCCACUAAAGCUUGCAUCAUUCUGUGUAAAACGUGAUUCACCAUUAGGAUUGAGAAUUUGAGAUGAAGUACAAAAGUUACAGAAAUAGGAAAUAGAAUUUGAUUUUAAACAUGAUCAUUGUGUAUGAAAAUUAUGAUGGCCGUUUCUAUUUUGCUAUAGAAAUAUCAUUUUGAAAAUGGAAAUGAAAUGUCUGCAAAGUGCAGAACUAUGUUUAUGCAAUAAUAAAAGAGUGUUCAACUGAAUUGGUCACCAUUAAAACUAGUACCAAAUCUAUGAAGACCUCUAUGUUCAUUUAUACGCUGAUAAGCUGAAAUUAUCAAGAAAAAGUGUCACUGCUAACUGGUCAUGAUCAACUUAUCUUCUGGAGCGAAGGGAAUUAUAGAUAGAACUUGGCAAAUGGAAACAUGCAGACGUACUGAGGUUCAAUGAGAUGGACUAUUCUUAGUGCAAAUGAUUCCGAAGAACUGUAUCUCUAAAAUCUAGCAAGGACCACUCAUGACCCUCGGAUUCUUUGCUUUAAUAUGGACCUUGCUCUAAGAAAAAUCCAGGCACAACAACACACACAUAUCAAUAAACAGAGUGUUAAUGUGUAAUUUAAACUGCAAUAUUUGUUUUUAUUACCAUUUCCGAUUACAGAGAGUAAAGACAGUGUAGCAAUAGACUUACAUGUUACCAGGACUCUCAACAGCAGAAGUAGGCAGCAUGGUGAAUGGCAUCGUAUAUAUCUGCAAGAACAAUCUAAGGUGACGACUCCGAUCUGAGGGUCAUAAUAUUCAAGAAACUUCUCUUGUCAAUAUGAUAAUUGUACUGAAGUUGUAGAUAUUCAAAGGAAACAUAUCAAAAAUACGUUUCACUGUGGCAUGAAAAUAAUCUAGUCAUUCAAAUACAUUUAGACCUCGGUUUUGUGAAGUGGAACAAAAAUUUGAAGAUUGAUCGAUCGUUCAUGACCCAUCAGAUCUGGUUAAAUCCCACAUACCACGUUGUGAUGUCACUAUGCCUGACUCCAAGUCUACAACCAGAUGGAUCAGUGAUAUUUACCUUGGGAAGUUCAGACUUGAACAAAACAAGAAAUUGUAACUUGAGAAUUUACAGGGAGCACAGUUAAAAAGUUCAUCCCUAUUCCAAUUAAGCCUUAACAAGUCAAUGAUGAGAAAAGUAACCUUAGAUUCUAUACAUAUAUAUGACACUAUAAACAUAUAAUGUGUUAUCAAUCUAACAAUCUUGAUAAUAGGUCUUUUUGCUUCCUACUGUUUUAUGGAUGUCAUGCUAAGAGUACUUUUCUCUGAAUAGCAGGUCCCUCAUAGAAGCAUAUCCAAAAGGCAUAAAUAAGCAUAGAUAACUAGAGAGGCGGCUAUCAUUCUACAGAGGAACAAUAUUUACUUUUCCUGAUUACGUGGGUCAAGGGUUCAAGCCAUGGAAUCAGCCCUUGAUGUGGUGUCAGGGUAAGGUAAGCUUCUACAUGACACCCCCUUGGGGUGCCUUCCCCAGACCUGCAUGAACGCGUGAUGCUUCGUGCACCCUGCUGCUCUUUUAGUUAGGAAAAAUAUGCUACUGUAAAUCAUAUAUGAGGACAAGGAAGUACUCUCUUUAUCCCUUGUUGUAUGUAUCUAAACAUGCACGAGCAUAAAGUGAUGUUGUCCCAGAGAAAUUCUAAGAUGAAGAACCGGUGGCCUUUUGUUUCUGAGAAGCUUUUCUACAUUUGUCAAAGGAGAUUUUUCAUGAAGAAUAAGCAUAAAAUAUUUAGGGAAGAGAGUGAUAAUAACCUCAAGAGAUAUAUUCAAUUUCACAUCAACAUCGAGGAAAGUCUGAGACCCAACUGUUUCCCACGUUAUAUGGUUUACCAUUGAUGCUGCAAGUUAAAAACACAUUGCAUGUGUUUAAACAUGUAAUUAUAAAUUAUGAUAAAUAUGUUACAAAAGCUCAGCUUCGUUCAAUUUGAUAAAAAUUGUCAUGCUCGAAUGUUGUUUUGGUAUACCUAAAAAGUGGUCAUUCUGCUGCUCUACCAGAUCAGAACCCUCAAACUGCAAUGAACAUCAGAAUUUAGGAUUAUAUAUCUUCUUAAAGGAUAGCUUAACUGUAAGAAACACAAAUCUCAGAUUUAAAUGGAAAAAAAGAAGAAGAUCCCAGGACAUGUAUCUCAAUCGCAAUGAGGGAGUAUUAAGUUAUAUGUGGGGGAUGCUAACGUCCAGAAGAAAACUGUUCUCUUGCAUGUACAAAGACAGGGGAAAUUAAACCUUAACUCACUCCUUGCUCCCCUCCUCUUUCUAUCACUCCCUCUUCUCUAAUGGUACUAACUACCUUAAAAGCAGAUAGCUGCAAAUGAGAACAUUAUCACUCUCUGUAUCAAUUGCAUAACUGGCGAUCAUACAAACAUGAAUUCAUAAGAAGUCUUCAGACAACUAAAGAUCUACGAGCCUUUAGCUACCUCAUGAAAGAAAUCAAUUAGAACCUCAAUUGUGAUAGAAACUUUUGAAGAUUCUUGGUCUAGAAGAAACAGGUGUUGGACAGCACAUCAGAGAUACUAAUUCCUUCGGUUUGGGUGAUGUUUCCAGAAUAAGGAGCCUUACCUUGCAAGACAACAUCUCCACAGUGCAGUCUUCGCUGGUCGGGUUCACUUUUAGUGUCAAAACAGGGGCAACUUCAAAAUUCAGAAGUUGAACUUGUGGAAGAGUACACCUGCAAUUAAAUCAUAAUCAGCAAGAUCUUAGAACUCUUAUAUGGGAUGAAUAGGCUGCGGAGGACACAUGAACAAUUUUCUCUGAUGAAGAUUGGAGUAUCUAAUAUCCAUACAUGAAUGUUCCUGAUUUUCAAUCACCAAAUAGAAAGGUACUAGCACUAAAGUAGUCAAAUGCUCUCAGAGACUACAGGCAAUUUCUAUAAUAUGAUUAUUUGACAACUCCACUGAACAGUUCUAUCCGGAUCUCCUAAUCUAUGCUGCACUUUACCCUUUCUUUUGAUGUGCCAUAUCUUUGAUGGAUUCCUCAACAUACACGGAAAAUAUGCUAAACGUUAACCUUACAUUGGUAACAUAUAAACUAAUAAAAGUCUAAGACACAGCUCAAAGAUUGCAAUAUAGUCCUUGAGGAUUUCAUAUCUUCUCGGUUUACACACUUGUUUUCCAGGUAUAGGCCGGUGGUUACCUUCUGGAACUGAAAUCUGUUCUUCCAAAUGCUUAGAGUACCUAAUUAACCAUAUCAUCUCCUCCGUUAAGGUAAAUAGGUUAAUUAAUGUGUACUGAUAUCCACACACUAAAAGGGAGGAGAAAAUUAUUUUUACCCCAAGUUUGAUUCUCUAUUCAAGAAGCCAAGAAAGGGUUGCUAACCCCUUGCUUCUAAGUUCUAACUAAGAGUUGGGAGUUUAAGUCACAAGGGAGGUAAAUAUGACAAAACACUGUUAGGCCUCGGGGAAGGGGAAUUAGGGGCUGGAGUUUACCAAACUAAAAAAGGUAUCUUUAUUUAAGAAAAUCAAUCAUCUGACAUCAUCUACUCAAGGUUGACAAAUUCUGGUCAUCUAUGCUACAGAACAACCAGAUUUAUAUAUUCUGCUCACUAAGAUGCUAUAGUAAGAUUCCAUAAAAGUCUCAAAAAAAUAUUGAAGUAGUAAUAAUUAGUGCAAAUGAUAGCCAUGUUCUUUUCAACAUAAAUCCAGUGGGAUUUCAGAUCUGAAUAAGAAGUUAGGCUACUUAGCAUGUCCAUUGUUGAUUAGUCGCUAUUGGAAUUCAUUAGUCAUCUUUCAUAUUUGGAGGGUAGAAUCUCAUUUAUAUGCAGUUCUACUUUAUACAUCAGAAGAUCUUGCUUGGUAGUCGCUGGAGUUUUUGUUGCGUAAGCUGCUGGUUGCACAUUUCUUUGCCCCACAUUCAAUUGGCUCUUGCAAACAUCCGUUGCGACUUGGUUAGUGUUACUGGAUGCUCAUAAGAAUUGACUUUUAAUUAAAUGAGCCUCUGUUUUAGCUACUUUCUUUCUAAGUGGUAACAGGACAACUGGCAGUUUUUUCAUAAGUUUCUUUUCACAAAGAGUUGCAGUAAGUCUUGGUUUAAAAGUGGUGCCUUGUGGUCAGGAGCACUUAGCUUAUUAGCUUUUAAUUAUAAAAAAUGUUUAGGUUAUAAUCUUAUGUUGAUAUCACAAGCACAGGGAGCUAAUAACAUUCUUCUUUUGAAGAUCGAAGUGUGAACCUGGGGAGAGGGGCUGAUAUACCAAGAGUUUAUUGUUGCUAAACUAGCACAGACCACAAGAAACUUCUUUAUAUCGGUACAUAGACCAAAAGAACCUACAGCUAGGAUGUAUGAAGAUUUUGAAAAUCAAAAGCAAAAAAGAACCAAAGUCUCACGUCAUCAUAGUAUAUGAUAGCAAGAAUCAGGCUAUGUCAGAAAAUAUCAGGCGGUCAUUAGGCAACACCUACUCACAAAGCUUAGAAAUCAUUAAGCCUUUCUAACUACUGAUGAAUCUCAGAAACAAACUUCUUACCAAAGCAAAAUUAGAUGCACUAAUUAAUUUUAAUUCAAAUUUAUAGUAGUUAUUCCAUUCACAUUUGAUGACCUGACUGUACAGAAUGUGGAUCCGUAAAUCAUUUAGAAUGCAGCAUAGAGGCGAAUUCCCUAUGCCUUAUGGUUCAUAUACCAAUAGAAGUAUAAGAGUAAUUAUAACACGGUAUGAUAUGGUUAACUAUUUCAGCAUCCUAAUAGUUCAAUCAGCUUCAUCUCUUUGCACAGUGGCGUUUGUUCUGCAAAGCUUCUUUUCUACGUAUCAAUGAUGUUUCCACUCGUUUUUCAAUACUUAAGCAGAUAACUUGAAAACUACUUAACACCUAGCUACAAUAAUAAAAUGCAACAUUUCACACAGCAAGAACAAAUGAUAGAAGAGAAAGAUGGAAUGUCCUUGGACCAAAGUACCUAGACAAGAAUAAUAGGCAAGAAGAUACAAAUCAUUACCUGUACGUAUUAGAAUCAAUAGAUUCAAAGCUUUGCAAAGCUCUCUUGUUCAACAUUGCCUCAACACCAGAUUUAUGGCUUAGAAACUCACUUAUAUGCAAUGAUUUACUGUCUCCACCAAUACUGUCAUGUUUGGGGAGCUUAAUUCUGUCCUUCUUCCUGGCAGAAAGGUUUGCUCUCUUAGCAUCUGAGUUUGACAAGUUAGACUUGAUCACUUCGACAACUCCAGCUCUCUUCCUGAAAAUCCUCAUUUUCAUUUAGCCAUAAUAGGAUGAGGAAAAAAAGAAGAUUGAACACUCACUAAUCAAUUUGUUUCUCUUACUUCCCCUCUUAGUCCGUUUAAAAGAAAACGUCUCUUUCCUUUUUUGGCAACUCUCUAGUUCUAACUUUCCACGUGACAUGAAUAAGACCACAAAAUUAAAACGCAUUUUCGUACAAUCUACAUAUCUUUAGUUUAAGACCACGUGGUUCAAAAAUAAACAGACGGAGUAUUUACUUAGAUACACAAUCAUUCCCUUUCAGUCCUUCCUGCCUUUACUUCUCUACUCUUUAAUCUCUUAUCAUUGUAAAACAGACAAAGCAUAAGGCUAACAACAAGUCAUGAACAUAUCUCUGAAAAAACAUGAAAUUUAUUGUUCAAUAGGAACAAAUUUGUGAAAUUUUUUCUUGAUUCUACUAUGACUGAACUAAAAUCAUAUCAUUUAACAAAAUAACACUAACCCCACCCCAUCCCCUCCCACCCCACCAACCCAACAAGAACAAUUUCAUAAUUUAACAUGAGCAACAUAGUCAAAAAUCAAAACAAGAUAACACCACUUGGGUUGCAUAAGAGUAAAUUCACCUUGAAAAGGAGCAUUCUUGGAAUUGAAAUGAUGGAAUUGAGCAAGACCCAUAUUGAAUAACCCUCAUAACUACUUGUUGAUGGGCAGCUUCUAAGCUUUAAUUUACAAAUUAAUGUGUAAUAGCCAUGGCAUUGAGGAGAAAUUGAAGCAAAGUUAUGGUUUUUUUUAAGCUGGGAAAGUGGGUGUGUGCACAUUAUGUGUUCCUCCAUGUUAGGGAGUUUGGCUCAUCACCAUAUCUAUCCAUUCACGUGUACAACUUGGAAAGAGCAACUCCAAAAAAAUAGGGAUUUUUAUUGGUUUCGAUAAUAAUUUUAAAUUAAUUUAUAAAAAAAUUUAGUCUAUAAUUAAAUUUAUAGAUUUUAAAUAAAAUUUACAUUUUUUCUAUUUAAUUUAUUGGUUAAAUCAAUUUUUGCACACUUGUAAUUGUAAAUAGAGGAAAUAAUUUGUGCGUACAUAAGAUUUGUAGAAAAUUGUGAUUCUUUUGCUUUAAUUUAUGUGAUAUAUGUUUUUAGUCUAUUGUAAAGAAUUUGAUAUUAUGUUUUUCGAAUUCCAAAUAUUAUAUUUAGAAAAAUAAAUUUCUUAAAAAUAAGGAAAAUGACGAUUAUAAUGAAAUGGAGAAAACAAAUUAUAUGAAAUUUCAUAUGGAUUAUAUCUUCUCUGCUCUUCGCACAUCAUCUUUAUCUUACCUAACUCUCGCCCUUUGCAUUACCUCUAUCAUCUCUGAUAUUUAUUUAAAUUAUAUAUAAAUAUAUUUAGAAUCUAACAAAUAUAAAAAAGAUGUCUUCAACCGUCAUAUUAGUGUAGAAAAAUAUACUUUUUCAGAUUCUCUAUGGGCAUUCCAACAGGAAUAAUUAUGUUGUCUAGACGAUAAAUAAUAAGCAAUAUUACCUAAUUAGAAACAGAUAUUGUAUAGUUCAAUCCAAAUGCACUAAAUUUCAAAUAAAUCAUAUUUAUUGUUUGAUCAAAAAAUUCGUCUAAAGCCAUGUUCUCGAGCCAAUUACAUCCGUCAAAUUGGAGAUGAUAAGUUUGUCUUUCUAUCCUUCUUCACUUAAAUGACGAUGUUAGUUCGUUUGUCACAAAACUCACCUAUUGAGAUCGAAAUUUAUUAAAAAAAAAGUUUUAUGUCAUGAUGUUCAUUUACAGCAUCCUCUGUAUUGAAGAUCAUAGCAAUCAAAAUACAAACUAAUCAAUUCUUAUUGAAUUUUAAUUGCUUUAUUUAUUAUUUUAUAUUGUAAUAUUUAAUAACUUGAAAAAAUUAUUAUUCUUCUUUACUAUGACUAUAUAUAACCUGUCAAAUUAUAAAAAAUAAUUUGAAAAGAUUUUUCAUUGAUCAAUUUGGACUAGAUAUCAGCUCAAAUUUUGAUGGACUAAAAUGAAUUGAACUGAAAUGAGUUGAGCUAAUAAAUAAGUGGGUCAAUAAUCAGUUCAAACUUAAAUAAAUUAGACAAAUUAUCAUUCUCAUGAGCUAAUUUUGCCGGCAAGAAGGCAGUGUUAGUGGAUCAAUAACACAUGCAAUAUGAUAUGACAUACUCCCUCCAUCCCAUUUUAUGUGACACUUUUUAGAUUUCGAGAUUCAAACAAGUAUUUUAAACGUAAGUUUUCAUAGAUCUUUUAAACAUUUUGAAUUACCAAUUGUUGUGAUUUAUAGUACUUUUACGUAGUUUACAAAUAUAUAAAUUUCAUUUAAUUUUUUUUGAAGAUUUCAUGCACAAAUUCCCGGUCAAACUUAUACUGUUUGACUCUCGAAAAUGAAAAGUGCCACAUAAAUUGGGACAGAGGGAGUAAUAAAUUUUUAUACAAUUAAUAAUUAUACCUCAUUAUCAAACAACAACAACAAUAAUAACAUAUUCAAUGAAAUCCCACAAUUGACGUGUGUGAUAGAUGAAAAUAGAUAUAAAAAACUAGAACUAACAAGAAUAGAGUAACCAACCUGAAUCCUCGAAAAUAAGUCAACACUCAACCUACUAACCUAAUACGCAACCAUCACACCUUCGUAUUUAAGAUCAUAUCAUAAGUAAUCUGAUGUUGUGUCAUGUCCUGUCUAAAAUAGAGACCAAUUCACCAGAUAUGUAUUUUCUAUAACAACUCAUAUUCUAUUAUACUCGCUUUGUCCCAAUUUAAGUGAAAUAUUUCGAAUUUCGAGAUUCAAACAAGUCUAUUUUUGAUUGUAAAUUUUUCAUAUAUCUUUUAAAUAUUCUGGAUUGUCAAUUAUUGUGAUCUAUAGUACUUUUUAUGUAGUUUGCAAUUAUAUAAAUUUCAUUUCAAAAAAAUUGAAGAUGUCAUGCCCAAACUCCCGAUCAAACUUAAAUUGUUUGACUUUCGAAAAACGAAAUGUGUCACAUAAAUUGGGAUAAAAGGAGUAUUAUUUUUCUAUUCCAAAAUUCUUAAACGUGAGUGCCAAGAAACAAACCAAGAUAGAAUCCUAGCCAUCCAUUUUGAUUAACCAAAACUUAAUCACAACCGUUAAAUUAAUUACCAAAAAAACAAAACAAAUCACUAUAUUCAAAUUCUAUUAAACCCCGCCAAAACCUGUAACAAGAAAAACUAACUUUCUUUCUUACAAGCUCUGCUUCAAUGUCGACUACACCCAAAUCAGCAAAGAAACUCCCGUUUAUCGACCUCCAUAGUGACGAUGAUAAGCUUCGUAAAGCAGCAAAAACUCUCUUGAAUUAUUCCAAAAAAUACUUCCCAAAUUCUUUAGUUGAGGAACUUUUCCAAGCAAUUGAAUGUAGCCCACCAGGAUCACGUACAGUAUUCUCUAUUACAAUGUUUUAUGCGAUGUUUUACCAUCCCUUUGGACCAAACUUUCGUUAAGUAAGCGAAAUGACUUGAAGAUCCGUUUACAUGAAAAGGUUUGGCUUGAAACAGAUUAUGAAACACUCAAGGCUUGUUCAUCUUGUGUAUCGAGUUUAGCGGGUUUACUUUUCCCUAAAAAUGAAUGGGUUUUAUUGUUUCACUUAAUGUUUGAGUAUUUGGGUACGAAUUCAUCGAACGGAAAAUUGUGUGUUAUGCUUUUAUGGAAUGAAUUGAUACCAAAAUGUCCUGAGGUUUUUGUACCUUAUGUUGAUUUUUUGAUUGAGGGGUUUACAGACCUUAUGCCUACUAUAUUGGAAGAUCAUCGAUGUAGGGUUGCUGCUGCUAGGGCUUCUGUGAAAUUGAUUUUGUAUUAUUCAACUCCCGCGAGUUAUUGCAAGUUUUAUGGUCUUUUAGAACAUGUGAUAGUGACUUUGUUUGUGGCAAUUGGUGAGGAAGAUCUUGUGUGUAGCCUUCUUGAGGAUUUGAUUGUUUUGGUUGGGGUAGAGACCGCGGUUUUUAAAGUUAAUAUCGGUGUUGUGGUUAAGUAUAUGGUGAGGAUAGCUGAGAAUUCGAAGUUAGGGGAAAAGUUAAGGCAGCUAUCUAUAGAGUUUAUUGUUACUUUGGCUGAGGAUAGGGAGAUUGGGUGUGGGAUGAUGCAGAUGGUACCAAAAGAAGAAGUUACUAAAUUGCUUAGUGUGUUGAUUGUGAUGUUGGUGCAUAUUAAAGAUGACCCUUGUUGGGGAAAUGCAAAUAGUGAUGAUGAAAAUGAAGGGCAGUUGAGUAUGUGUAGUUAUGCUAUGGAGAGUUUGGAUAGGCUAGCAAUUGCAUUAGGGGGAAGUGUAAUUGUGCCUUGUUGCGCUGUGGGCUUGUUCGACCUCUUUCAUGAUCAAAAUUGGAGAAUUCGUCAUGCUGCCGUUACUGCAAUUGGACUGAUUUCAGAAGGAUGCUCAAAGGUAGUAUUCACUCUUUCUGCUGCGUACACAGCGUACACACUACCUCUCUAGAUCCACUUAUGGGAUUACACUGGAUUACUUUUGGCAAAUGAAAUACGUUUUGAGUUUGAUUUCUGGUCUGGAAAUUCCCAGGCAUUGUUACUGGAGAUGGAGAAACUUGUGCAGACUAUUGUGAAACUAAUCCAUGAUGAGCACCCUCGAGUAUGUUGGGCGAAAAUUCGUACAAUUGGUCAGCUAUCAACAUAUCUGAGCCCUUGUUUUCAAGAGCAAUAUCAUCAGCAGCUCCUUCGAGCUUUGAUAGAAGUAUUGGAUGAUAUUGAUAAUCCCAGGUUGCAGGUACUUUUAAUGACAUAUGACCAAUGUAUUAACUCUUUGUUCUCUAAUUGAGAACUUUUGACAUAUCAAAACUUAUCCAUUGCAAGUACAUCUGGUUGCCGACUAAUACUCUCUUGUGUAUAGACACGUGCAGCUUCAGCGAUACAGUUGUUCAGUCAAAAUUGCAGUGCAGAUGUCUUGAAACCUUACCUGCACAAUACUGUGCGUAAAUUAGUUGGGUUUCUACAGGUAAUGUCACCUUUACCAAUCUACAACAUAUUUAUUUGUUCACGUGUAUAAGAGUAAAUGACAUAAGCUUUUAACUGUCAAAUCUCUGAUGUGAUUUGAGUUUAUAUUUAACAAGUAACAUGCUGCAUAUUCCAGAGAGGAACGGCAAUGAUGAAGGAAGCAUCUCUUGCAACUUUAGCCUCUUUAGCUAUUUCAUCACAGGUACUUUACUUUCAGGGGUUCAAAAAGAACUCUUUUUUUCCAAUGCUCGAUGUUCUAAACUUCAUUUGCUUGGGACACUGCAGGAGGACUCUGCAUACUUAUACGAUUCUCUAAUGCCUUAUCUGAAAGUUAUCUUGGAAACUGUUACUAAUGAUACAAGUCGCACGCUACUGGCCAAAUCCAUGGAAUGCAUUACCAUGGCUGCAAUGGCUGUUGGAAAUCUAGCAAUCAAUGAUUAUGUUGAAAAGGUGAAUACAAUUUAUAAAUUUCCAUUAGCACUUAGCAGGCAUUAUAUAAAAGUGAAACUAUCAACAUCACUUAAGAUCUGAAAAUGCAUUUACCUUAUGUGAUAUGUUAUUUUAGGUCACUGCAGUACUCAUUUCACUGCACGAAACUCAAACGGUGAUAGAAGAUCCAAUGAGGAGACUUUUGUUACUAGUAUGUUGAUACAACUUAGAAUUUUGUGCAACUUUCAUUUUCUUUUCUUUUCUGUUUUUGGCUAAUUUACACUUUGAUUCUAUGACAGGAAUGCGGUAGACUAUGUAAAUUUUUGGGGGCAGAUUUCCUUCCUUAUCUGAGUCUUGUCAUGCCCGUUGCGCUAAAAUCUGCUUUGCUAAAGAACUAUUUGAGUGUUUCCGAUAAUUCAGAUACAGAUGAUUCUGAUUAUGAAAGGUUGGAUCUUUUACUAUAACAACUCGUACGAAGUUUUAUUUAGAUGGAUGGCAUAUGUAUUAGUACUAUCACUAUGUAAUGAUGUAGAUGGUUGUGAGUUUUCAUACAAUUUCAUUUCAUUUCAUGAUGUAUUAAGAGUUCCGCACAUGCUAUACCAUAUGAAACUGCUAUGUCGAAUUAUAACGUAAAUAAAGUGAAUAUGUUAAGUGACUUCUGUGUAUCUUCCUGUUUAUUUAGAGACAACAUCUCCGAGUCAAAGGAAAACAUCUGGUAUUUCCGGGCACUUAAGGUUUCACAGAUGUUUCAUGAGGCUAUUAGUCACUGCACUUAAAUAGUACAGUUUGAUGAGAUAAAUUUCUAUUACCAACCUUUAAUUGCAGUCUUUCGGAAACAGCCUCUCUACCUUCCAAGGUAAGGGUAAGGUCUGUGUACGCACUACCCUCUCCAGACCCAACUUGUGGGGAUUACACUGGGUAUGUUGUCGUUGUUGUUGUAACCUGAAAUUGCAGGAAAAAAGUGAAAUAAGCAACUUUAAUGGAAUAAAUUUAUUGAGGAUGUCUUCAGCUGACAUAAAUAUCUUCUGUAGCAUGAUUAAAGCCACUGCUGGGAAUAAAAAGAUCGGGAUAAGAGCUGCACUUCUGGAAGAGAAGGCCUUGGCCUGUCAUAUGCUAUGCUUCUUCUCAACUGAGUUAAAGGAAGGGCUGCAUUUAUGGGUUAAUGAGGUCUGUCUAGAAAAUGACAGGUCAUAGCUAAUCUCAUUUACAAGGCUUACAAAGUAGCAUGCAGAUUUUUACUUAAUUUGUGGUUUAUGCAGGUUGUUAGUGCUUUAGUUCAGAAUCUUACUUUUAAAUUCAGCGAAGAAAUUAGAAUGGCUGCCGUUUCUGGUAAAUUUUCUACAUGUGUCUUCAUCUAAUCAUUCAUUUCCGCAUUAUAAAACAAACCCCGUUGUUUGCUAAAUUGCAUUUAUUCCUUUUUGUAGCAAUGCCGUUGCUGUUAAAUUCAGCUUCUUGUGCUAUGAAGAAAGGGCUGCUUGUAACAGGUCAUGGCAAGUCCCCAGUUCAAAAGCUAUCUGACACUAUUAUCUCAUCUUUGCUUGAUGCAUUAAAAAAGGUAAUUUACCUAGUGUUGCAGCAAAAGUUUAAUCAAUAGUGAUACGAUCCUUAGGAAGUUUUACUUUCCCUUUAGGAGUCAAAGGUACAAAUUCAAGCAAGACUAUUGGAGGCAUUCAACGAAAGCAUACAGGUUAAUAACUCUUUUGUCUUCUGUAUAGCUUAUUUGUCUGUGCACUAAGAAGUACUUAUUACAGGUUCCGGGUUCAUGUCUAAGUAAACACCAAGCUGAAAAAUUUGUUGAUGGCAUAUCAAAGGUCCUCUCCAGAUGCUCAUACCGCAAAACAGAAAGAGAGAAGCGAGCUAAAGAACACACAGAUUCAAGGGAGCAGGAACUACUUAAGGAGGAAGCUGAGCAACACUUAACUAUAUGUAGAAACGUUAGUGUUUUAUCUCAACAUAGCCUCUAAUAUAUAUAUAUAUAUAUAUACUUAACAGGAUCUUAGACUUACCUUCAUCGGUUUCUUUGUUUUCCUGAAUUCAGAUUGGCAUUUGCCUUGGAACUAUGGUGAAAAAACUAAAGGCAUCAUUCUUGCCACAUUUUGACAAGUUUUUGCCUUAUGUAUCACUUAUGUGGGUAAGUCACUCUCGCUUUUGAUGUACUAUAUGUAUAAUUCAAUUCAUGACACCUCUUACUGAAGCAUCAUAAGUAGCUAAAUUGAUAUAAACUUCUCGUUAAACCAGUCUAUCAAGAAAUUCUAAGGGGAACUUUUAAGGUUUCUUUGACCUUACACAUUUCCUUUUCACUUUUCUACAUACUUCUGUACAGAGUAAUGAUAGAACAGCAGAAGAAAGAAGAAUUGUAGUGCACCUUUUUCGUGAUGUUGCUGAGCAGUGCCGAGAAGAAGCAUUCAGGCACGUCUUGCAAUUUUCAGUGUCUUAUUAAUCAUGAUAAGCUCAGUUGGCUUAGCUGAGCGUCUUUUUUAUUAUUUUAAAAAUCAGGUACUAUGAGGACUGGAUAUCUCUCCUGCUUAGAAUGCACAAUCAUGAGAAUCCAGAUGUUAUGCAGGUUUUCUAUUUUUUCCUUCUUUUACUAUUUGUUUCCCUAGUAAGUCUUUUAUAUAUCCUUCAAACCUGACAUUCUCUAUCUUUUCAGAUCGUGGCAACUGCAAUUGGUAUUUGUGCUGAAUUCGGAGCAGAUUUCCUUAAGCCUCAUAUUAAAGGUAGCUUUGUGCGUUAUAAUAUGCUUAAGGUAUCUAUUUUCUCCACUAGCAGCAUCUGACUUAGCUGCUUAAUGGUGUUUGCAGGAAUACUCGGUCAUUUAAAAACUGCACUGGAGAAUCCUAAUGCAAAACACCCCGAUAACAUCAUGGCUUAUGAGGCUGCUGUUUCUACCUGUGGAAAGUUAAACCAGUUUGUCUCAGAAGGCAUCUCCUAUGAGGUGCUCUCUUACUACUCCUUCCUAUAUCAUUCCAAAAGAAAACUUCAUACACUAGAACACACAUACGAUUUCUCUUGAUUGUAGUUUUGAUAAAUUUGUCAUUUGUCGACUGACAUAUCAUAAAUGUUCUUGUCUCAGUACAUCCUGCUCUGGCUUAACCACUUACCAAUAACGUGUGAUCUUGAUGAGGCUAAAAUCAGCCACGAACUGCUUUGUUCAAUGAUGGAGACGUAAGUAUUCCCUGUAGGCUACAGCAAUAAGUAAUCAAUGAUUAUCAGAACUUCAACAUUUCUUAUGCAUGCUUGCAACUGUGCCUUGAUCUUUCAGGUCAGAGCAGAAAGUUAUUGGCCUUGGCGGAUCUUAUAUACCGAUUAUAAUAGCAAUUUUUGCUGAGGUAGUUUUCCUUUACAGUAGUACCCUUCAUCUUAUAUGCACUAAGAUUUCCUCCAUUUCAUAAGUUUAUCUUUAUCCUCUAGGUUUUAUGGGCAGGGAACAAUUUGGCCUCAGAAGAAACUAGGACGCGAAUUAUCAAUCUAUUGAAGAAGUUCCAAAGAGAACUGGAGCCUCUUGUGUUGUCCAAAAUAUUUGAAACAUUACCUUUACCACAUCAAAACAUGUUGCGCAUCGUCUUGUCCACCUAGUAAACUGUUUGUGCAUUCUUUGAGUAGAUAGAUACAUGUACAGAAUGGAAAUAGCUAACGGGAAAAAUCGCAGACUCAUACUUGUAGAGUGAGAAAGAUUACUGUAAAGAGUGAUUGUAUACAUUGUAAAGGAGAUUUUUGUGUAUUAAAGGAAGUUACUAGCCAAGAUCAUUUGGCACUGAGGUUGUUUUGUAGUCCAUUGAAGUGUACUAAUUGAACAUUGUUACAUUUUGGUCUAUAAAAUUUGAAUAACCAUAGUUUGAUCACAUAAUACAGUUAAAUCAUCAUGAAACAAUCAGGGAUAAAACAAGCAUUUAGAGGAAGUGAAGCUCCAUGACAAACACAAACACUAGUUCAGAAGGGAACGAAUAAAUGGCGUAAGAUAAACAUAUCCAUCAGAUCAUCAUUAUAUUGAAAUAAUAUGAAUUCGUUCUACUAAUACUAGACAAUUUGUGAAAGCUACUAACUUGCUUAACAUCAUCAAGGCAAGCUUCGGAGGCAAACUUCAAGUUACAUAAUCAUUUGUGUUUUGAUGACCGUGAUGUCCAGGACAGCUUGUAUGGACCUCAACUAAUAUUACUUACACGGUAAUGCUUUGAUACCUCGCAGCAGUAUACUGAAUAACUAUGUCCACCUAGCCUUGAGUAGAUAGACAUAGAUUUUCAUUUUGAAUUACCAUUUGUUUUCAUUAAACAAGAGACAAAAGAAACUGAAAUCCAAUUCGAGUCCAACAAGUUUUGACUUUUGAUUUUGAAAAUUGUUGCCUAUGAAAUAAGCGGAUUUGAAUUUCCAAUUUAUCUUAAAUUAAAAAAUAAAUAUAAAAAAUUUAAAUGUGCUCGAGGGAAAUCAAACCCCCAUUCAAAAGGCAAACUAAGCUAAAGCAAGUUUCAUUAUUUUUUAAAAUAGGAAUAAAAUCAUUAAACUGUGCUUGCUUCAUGGGCAAAACAUCAAGUUUAACAAAUUUCGACCUAUGGACAAAUAUUUUGAUUUCUGAUCUUAAAAGUUGUCUAUGGGUUAGCGGGGGUCAAAAAUUUGAAAACGAUCCAUUUCUAAGGUCAUUGCAUAUAACAACUUUCACAUAUAGCAAACAUAAAAAUCAUAUUUAUAUGUUAUAGUUAUAGUUUGUAUAAUUGCGCUUCAUAGUAAACUUUAUGUUUGCUAUGGAGCAUCAGAUUAUAUAACUCGCUGGUAGGAGCUUCAGAUUUGUAUAAUUUCGUUGACAGACUAUUUGUAUAAAUCGCUGACAGCCUCUCGUUUGUAUAAAUCGUUGGCAGCCUCUCAAUUCAAUUUUAUGUGUUUGUAUAUAUCUGCAUAAAAUUUGAAUUUUUAUACAAUUGAAUCGAAAUAAAACAUUUGUAUAUCAAAUCUCUCUCUCUCGCUUUAUACAACACAAAUUAUACAUUGUAAUUUGUAUAAUCUAUGUUUGUAUAAAGCGAGAAAAAUAGAAAGGCAAAAGAGAACUGGGCCAGAGAAGAUUUAUAUUUGUAUAGUUAUAAGUGUAUAGGACGAAAAUAUAUGUAUUCGUAUUUGUAUAUACAGUUUUCUCUCGCUUUAUACAAACACAAACGCAUUUUAUACAUUUGUGUUGGUAUAAAAAGCGAGAGAGGCGAGGGAGAGAUUGGCGAGAGUGGCGAGCGAGAAACCUAGGGAGAGAGGCGAAUGUCAACUGUUUGCUACGGAUUACUAUUAAAUCAAAUUGUGAUUAUAACAUUUAAUUUGAAUUAAUAGUUUGCUAUUUUAUACAAUUUUAUCUUUCUUAAAAUUGAAUAGUUCACCUAAAUUAGCCUGGACACUAAUAGGUUUAUUAAAAAUGGGCCGACUUUAGAGUCCACUUUUUUAUGGGUUCUCACUUUUUGGGCUUCAAAGAGCCCAAACUCAUCUUAGGUGAGACCAACGAGUAUAGAAAGCCCAAAUAUACUAAACAAUUGCUAACUUAACUAUAAGGGGUCGUUUGGACUUGGAGUGAUGGAUAAGGGGAGUUACUUUCGGGCUAAAUUUUGAGUAGCCUUUAAUCAUUUGUUCGUUUGGUGUGAUGGAUAAAUAUAAAUAGUCUUGGGAUUAAAAAAAAUAGUCCAAGAAUAAAAUUUUGGUGUCUUGUUUGGUUGCCGUGUUUGGGAUAACUUAUCUCACCAUUUAUACCACAGUGAUGAGACAAGUUAUCUCAUAUACAUGGUGGGAUAAAUUAUCCCGGGAUAACUAGUCUUGGGAUAACUUGUUCCCGACCAAAUGAUCCCUAAGUAGUGGACGUCUUUUUAAUUUUUAUUUUUUAAAAUACAAAUAUUCCAUUAGACAGAGUACAUAGAGGUUAAAUUUAUAACAACGUAUGCUUGUAAUUUAGACGAAACACUCCAAUUUGUUUUUACUGAGUUUCGUAAAUAUCUGAUGUUGAUGUGAUUCAUAAUUUUUUUGAAUUUGUUUAAAUGAUGAUUUUGUAAGUUGAAGUGUUCAACUGACACAAUAAAAACAAGAUGAGGUGUCUAGAUGUUCAUACUCAAAAUUGAAGUAUUUACUUAUCAUACGUCAACAUUUACGAAGGUCAGGAACAUGAUAAUCACACUAUCAAGUUCAAGAAGAUAAUCAAAACUAAAACAAUUUAAAUAUCAUAGGAUUGAACAAAUAAACACAUAUAUUCUAUAUGUAAAAUCAAAUCAUCAUACUAAUAAAGACAAUGAUAUAGCAAUUUGGAAAAUAAUAGAUACUUGAAAAAAAAAAGAGAUUUGCUUAAAUGCGUAUGUUUAUAUAUAUAGGCCAAAUUGAAAGACGUAGAUGUCAUCUGAAUUCAAAAUUAAGGAAUAUAUUUGUGUUUUAUGCCUUGAUUUUUUAAGUAUCUAUCGUUUCCAAAUUUAUCACUGCCUUUAUUAGUAAAAUAUUUUGAUUUCACACUUGUUGUACAUCAUCUCACUUACACAUUUCUUACCAACCCAAUCUUGAAAGUUCAAAUAACAUGUUUUGGUAAUAAAAAUGCAAAAACAUCUUCUUCUUCAUUUUAAUUAUUAAUCAACAAAAAGUGAUUAUUAUCCUCUAUCAUCACAAUACAUAUAUUUCUUUUUGGCUAGCAAAAAUCAACACCCAAAACCUUUGAUGGAAAAAAAAAUGCAACUAUUUAGCCUUAUAUAUUCUUCAUUUUUUUGUAAUUUUUUUUUUCUAGUUGAAGAAAAUAGCACACAUUUUUUUCACUAAUUUUUUUUUUGAACAUGUAGAAUCUUUUGUAGGGCUACCCUCCAAUUAAUUCUCAAUAAACAAAAAGAUAUUUUCUUGGUGAAUCCUAAGCCACUCGAUCAUUUGACAAGGACAACUAACAUAUUGUACCCCAUACAAAUAUAGCCCACUAGUACUUAGAAUUCUGUGUUCAUAGUUAGAUGAAAAGAACAUGUGUCUGAACUAACAUGGGUUGUGGCAGGAGCACUUCAUUCUUAAUCAAAGGUUUCAAGAUUCGAGUUUUGUAUAUGAAGAAAAUUUUGUUGAAUGCGCUAUUCCAAAUGGAUCAUGCUAUGCAUGCAGUGCGUGAUCCGAAUUUAGUAGGGGCUCCCAUGUGGGCUCCGAAUACUAAAUGAGAAACCAAAAAAGGAAAAAGAAGUGGCCAACUUACCAGCAAACGAAAAAAUUCUUAGUAAUAUCUUCUUUUCUUUUCCUUUUUUAAUCUAGAAGUGGUCGUUUAAUUUGGCUUUGUGAUAUGAAGUUAAAGUGUUAUUUGGAUAUGCGAAUUUUUUAUGUUGUAUGUUUCUCAUACAUAAAACUCUCAUAAGUUGUAAAAUUAUUCAAAUUGUCUCAAAUCUUUAUACUAUAUUACCAAAUAAGUAAAAGCUUACAAAAUCUCAUAAUACACUAUCACAAAACUAUUCUAAAAAAUACAACAUAAAUUGAUCAAACUUAAUUUAAUAAAAAAAUCAAAAUUGAACAUUGGUUGGUAAUAAAUAGAUUAUAUAAGGUUAUUUAUUUUUGGGGUUUAUAAUUACAUGACAUAAAAAUAAUCUUUAUAUUUUAUCAUGUCAAGUUUAUUUUAAUGAUAAAUGAAGUUGAGUGAUUUUUUAAGAUAAAAACUUUAAGUUGAGUGAUUUUAUUGAUUCAAAAUAAAGUUCAAUGACUUUACUAGAUAAUUUUCUAUAGUUCAAUGACCUUUUAAGAUAUUAACUCUGAAUUUGGUGAAUAUAAAUAGUAAAGUAGGAAUUGAUUUGAAGUAAUAUCAAACUGGUGAGAAUAAUUGUUAUAUGAGAUAUAAAUGAUUUAAAAAGUAAUGGUAUGAAUUUUAUAACUUUAUUUAUAUAUCAAAAUAAAUGAUCAGUAGUUAUAAAUGAGAAUGUUCUUUUACAAAAUAUAAAUUUGUGGGUCAAGUUUUAUAUUUAACAAAUCCCAAAUCAUGAGUUUUGGAGAAUUUGAGAUUUCAUCUCACGAGAUGAAAUCAACGUGAAAUCACAUGUCCAAACAUUGAUUUCAUCUUAUGAUUUCAUAACACGAUAUGCACAUGACCAAACACCUACUUAAUUCAACUGUUUAUUUGUAUUGAAAUUUUCAUAAAAUAUUUACUAAUAUUAGAUUUAAAACUUAGUUAUUAUUAUUUGAAGUUGUUAUCCUAAAAUUCCGAACUCAUAAAGUUGAAAUCUUGUUUCUUCUUCCAAAUCCGUUACGAUGCAUGUUUAACUCUCUCCCAAUUUAUGUGACAUCUCUUAUGUAGUGGACCUAGAAUUUUCAUUAAGAGGUGUCAAUGGUUGUAAUAAAAAAUAUAAUUAUGAGGCUAGUAGGACCUAACACACGACCUCAAGAAAUUUUCACAACACCUUAACCACUAGAUUAUAAGCCUUUAACAUAUGUCAAGAAGUGUCAAUACUUGUAUACACACAAUUAUUGAACCAAAAUUUGACCUCUAUAUUCAAUGUAAUUUUUCGACAAAGGGGUGUCGCUUGACAUCCCGGGAUAAAGAAGGGUCCGCCCCAUAUCUCUUAUAUUUCAAGAGUACGAGCUUUUGGUUUUUAACCAUUAUUUUCUUGAUAUGCCUUUUAAAUUAUUAAUUAUUGUGACUUGUAAUACUUUUUAUGUAGUUUACACACAUAUAUAUAAAUAUUAUUUUGUAAAUUCUAACUAAAUGUCUGAAUUCAUGGUUAGACUUUAAAAUUUUAACUAAACGAAAUUUGAAUUGUGCCACAUAAACUAAAACACGUAAUAUUUUUUGUACCAAAAAGAAAGAAAAAAUAGCUGGAAAAGAAGAACCAGAUGAUUUCUUUUGUAUCUGAUAAUUAGCAAACCAAGAGAAAAAAUCAGAUCCCAAGUUGGGCUUGUGUUCUUAGCUAACCUCCAAAAUAUUGGCUGUGUUUUCUGCAUAGAGCCAAAAAUAUUGCAAUUAUAGCACAUGGCUGUUACAUUCUUUUUCCAUCUUCUUUAUAAUAAUAUAAUAAUAAUACUUAUAUGAUGGUUAACAUCAAUUUAAUUAGAGAUAGUGAAAGGUUUAACCAUAAUUCUCAUUUUAGGUUCCAAAUCAAUGUUGCCUAGGUAGAUCAAGCCAAUAAAUGAAGUACAUCUUUAUUAAAGGAGUUAAAUUUAAUCCUACUUUGAGUGCUUUACCAUAAUGCCUUCCUUAAUAUUCUCACUCUCCCAAAAUAGUUGUUAGGUAAGUUUUCUUUUUCGAGAGUCAAUCUAGAUUAAUUUUUUGAGCUAAAUUAGAUUAGAUUAAUUUUAUAUUUAGUUAAGAUUUAGAUAUUUAAAAACUAUACGAAAAAAUUCUAAGUUGUCAAUUUUUUGCAUAUUCUUGUACUACCCCCAUUGCGCAUCUUGUGUAACAUUAAGAAAAGGGAAAGCUCAUAUUACCGCGGCGGAAGGUUGUCUCCCAACACUUGGGACCCUAUUCACCUCUUUGAGUGAAUCGAUAAAUAGGUUUGAUUGUCCAUCUUUUUUUUUAUAUACAUCAUAUUGCAUUCCCCCUAUAGUAGAUAUGUCACAAAUUGAGCCAUAUUUUUGGAGAUGGUCACGUUAUCGGCGGCAAGUGAAUAAUUUAUGUGCAAACUUAGCUGAAAAAGAAAGAUUUCAUUUUGUUACUGACCUUCUUCCCUUGACUGGUGUUUUAGGUCUUCUUAUCCAAAAGAAAAUACAUCUUAAAAUAUUGAUCAUAGUUCUGAACUAAUUAUUAGUUCAUAUAAUUUUACUCUCUAAAAGCAAAUCGUGACAAAUACUCUGAGACAAUAAGAUACACUAUCUGGAUAUAAAUUAAAAUUGCUUAAUCAAUCGGCAACUCAACAUUUUUGUGUAUAGUACAUACAUAUUUAUCUCGAUUAAUUUAGAUUUGUGCCUCAUAAAAGCUCAUUAAAAGAAAACCCUCCAAUCACAAUUUUGUUUUGUUUUAUUCUCAAAACUUGAAUCAAUUUUUUCUUUAUUAAGAAUGAAAAAAUUCUAUUUAUCCCGAUCUAAUCCUCGCGAUGAUAAGUGACAACUCUACUAAUGUGAUGAGAUAUUAUAAUAAUGGAUUUUAGACAACGACAAUACUAGUGUUCAAGAAAUGUCUUCGAAUGUCUCUUCUCUUGUUUUAAACCGCGUCCUUAAGCCCUACACGUUUUCUUUAUAAUUUAGAAUUUUCGAUACGAAUAAAAAUAAGAAACUCACUUAUUUUGUUACAAAAUAUUUUCUUCAUUACCAUACAUACUUUUAAAUAGUGACAAAGCUAAAAAAUAUUCUAAAAAAAAGAUAUUCUAAGGGUAAUAAAAAAUGUAAAGAGUAAACACACAACUAGCCUAAAGGAGUUCAUCAAUCAUCAUUACUAUGUAUUUAUAUAAAAAAAUAAUUUAAUCAUGUAUAAAUAGUGUAAUUUUCUGGUUAAUUCAGGAAGUUCGGAUGAACCUACGUUAACCCAAAACUGGUUAUGCCAUUGCCCUUAGGGGUCGUUCAACUGAUUAGAGUUAUGUUUGUAUAAGUUAUGAAUGAAGUAGUUAUAAGGGAGUUCAUGUAUAUAUUGUUUUAUGUAUAUAUUAGUUACGCAAGAUUUAGUUAUUCCACCUUCCGUCUUGUAUAAAAUAAAACAUAAAAAAUUUCAUUAUUACUUAUACAUGUAUUAGUCAUGCGGAUUUCUAAAUUCCAAAUUAAUACCAUAAUAAUUUUAUACAUUAAUGACUUACCUCCUAAGCUAUUAAACAUAAUACGUAUUACUUAUACAAAAUUUAAUACCUUCCUAAGUACUCACUUUCCGAUGAGCUAACAAACUACCCAAUAAUGAUAUAUGGUGCUUAAAGAAUGGUGGGUAAUUAGUGGAAAUUAGUAAGGUUGCAAACUUUAUUUAGUUUGGGUUACCGACACCUUGUAACAACCUCCAAAUACAAACACUCACAAUGAAAGAAGAAGGCUAAUUGUUGAAUCAAUAACUAAAUUGUUAAGGGGAAUUUUUAAUUAUUUUUUUUUUUUUUAAAAAAAAAGGGGGUAAGAGAAAGGGAAAUGAAAAAGAGAAUCAUAAGAUGAAAAAUCGAAUUCAUAGUUUAGGUAGCUAAUCAACUAAGCUAAGAUUCCCCGAUUAAGGGGAAUGAUAGAAUCAUAGAAGAAGGAUGAGAAGCAAAACUCAAAAAAAGGGGAUUGAGAGAGACAAAAUUCGUCUAAGCAUAACCAAAACUCACAUAAUCGAUAUUAGUUAAAUAUUAUUAUAGAGAAUGAUUAUUAACAAAGUCUGGUUGUAUAUUGGCAUAGUGAAGAGUUUUAGUUGUUUACAAAUUAAUUUUAUGUUUAUAGCGUAACUGAUGAAGAAAUCUCACAUGGACCAAUUAUGGGAUGUGUGGCCUUUUUAUAUGACUUGAAAAAUCUUCAUUUCUUUAGUUAGCUUUUGAGAUUGACCAGUUAGGUUUAAGACUCAUAUGUCUUUAUAUGGUACGUAUCAGAGCAGGAUUCAUAUCUCAAUUCGCGAUCACAAUGUUGAACCCCAUAUUACAAUUAUUCACACUAGAAAUGUCCAGUCUUGAAUGUGAGGAAGGUGAUGAAGUAGUCUCACAUCGAUCAAUAAUGAAAUGAGUAAUCUUUUUAUCUGUCUUGAUUAAUAUAGUCUCAUAACCAUUUUAAACUUAUUUUAAAGUUGAGUCAGACCUAAGAUCCAUUUCAUGUCUUGCCAUUAAUUAUAAUAAGCCCAAGAUAUAAUAAUAAAAACUAAAAGAAAAGAAACACUCAUUCAACAAAUAGGUUAUCCCUUCACAUUUUCCAAUCUAUAAAUACCCUCUACUUCUAACACAACUAUGCACUCAUCACUUAACCAAAAACCAAAACAACAAAAAAAAACACAAUGGCUUCCAAACACAUUUUCCCUUGUCUUGCUAUUUUCCUUUGCUUUAACCUUUUCUUUGCCUUAGUUUCUAGUUGUGGCACUUGUCCUAAACCUAAACCAAAACCAAAGCCAUCAUGCCCACCACCACCUUAUUAUCCUAAAGAAACUUGUCCAAUUGAUACACUUAAGUUAGGU
rnacentral:lncRNA from 1 species